UGCCAGGGGCAGCUGCUCGACCAAGCAACCAAUUACCACCCUAAAACGUAGCCACACUCGCCUGGGAAAAAUUCCUGCUCAGAUCUCAAUCCUAGACUUUUUCUCUUCUACGUCGUCCUUAGGCAAGCUCGGUUGUUAAGGGAAAGGCUCCAGGAUUACAAGCCAUGAUCUAAAAAGUGAUUGCCCCCCAACCUUUUUACAGUUCCAGAAGCAGAGGGAGCAGCUUCAGUAGUUCCAUCUCUCUAGCCCGCAGGAGUUCCGGUGGAGGGUGAGGACCCGGAUAGAUAGAGAGGGACCUAUGGAAGUAGUUUUAAGUCGGCCCAGUGGCGGAGCUAGCAGCAGCUCUAUCCUUUUUUUAGCUAGUGUUAUUUUCCUUCCCGUUACAUAUCUGUCCCAAUGCAGGUCAAAUAUUUUCUAAGACAUAAUGAAUGUAAGUAUUAUUAUGGUUAAUGGUCCGUUAUCUAAGUUGUAAUUGGCUCAGAGAGCUCUAGCUCUCCUUGUAUUGUAUUAUAAAUAAAUUGAUUUUAAUGGUCCUUUAAUAGUAUCUUCCAACGCUCAACUCACGGCAAAGAGAAAACGACCCGGUUCCAUUACUUUCUAUUUUUUUCUGGAUAAGCACGGCCGGGGAAAUGGUUUUAUACGCAAUUUCUCAGUCCUAAAACGAAUCUACGUAUUAACAAGGUGUUUACUCAUCCAACGUGGAGAAAGUUCUUUCUAUUUUCUUUAACAGGUCGAACCCUCUCUGAAGACCUUGUGACUGCUAUUGAAGACCGAAACCCCUUGGUACUGAGUGAACGAAUGAAGCGGGCUGGGGAGGUGAAAAACAACUUCUUCUUUCAAGGUCGAGCUUUGAAAAGUCUCUCAUCAAUCCACUACUUUUUUUUGUUUUCUAGCCCGGUGAUAUCGAGCCUCGAAGCUACUGCCAAACUCUGAAUCUUUCGCUUUCCUUUCCUUUUUCAGUCAGAGCAGAGUUUCUUUUCAUUCGCAAAAAACUCAGAAUUCUGAAAAUCACCCUCUACCUGCUUCCAUUGGGACUUCAUUCCGCAACCCGGGGGAAGUGGACUGCCAUUACGCUUUGUCACGGAAGGCUGAGGAUUUUUGGUAACCUAUCGGGAUAGCCUUGACCUCCUUUUCUCCUGCGCACAAACACACUUUAUGCCCAGGCUUCCAUACCGAUCCGGCCUUCAUCAUAGGCUAGCAUAGAAGACAAUCUAGCGAAAUCCAGGAAGGGGGAGGGGAAUGCCCAAUCUGAAGCAAACCGUUAGGCUAGUUCCCGUGGAGUGAGUCUAGUGCUUCCCUUUAACCUAGAAGCACUCAGUGAGCGUUCAACAAUGUCCUUCCUGGCCUGUUCUUUGAGUUGACCGAAGGGCGGCGCGGCGGGUGAAGGGAGCUUCACUUACCGAGAGGAAUGAAUUCGAGUAGUAGCCAGGGGAGGAGUUCUUUGAAAAAGAAUGAAGUAGAGCCCAAAUGCGCGAGCAAGAGCUAGAAAGAAGCCCUAGCCAGCCCUAGAGCUAUAGCAAGAGCUCAGUAACUAAUAGAAAAGGACGGUGGGUGUAGCGGAUUUUUUCCUCCCCCUGCUCGAAGAUCAGACAAUAUGCUAUGUCAUGAACGCCAUAGGAGGGGCACUUGGGUUGAGCUGAGCCUAGCACCUGACCGGAUGAACUUCCACUGUGGAGCCUAAAUCUCUUCCGCAGAAAGGGGGUCGGCAGAUCAAUCGGAAAGGUUGAACCCACUCCCCUUUUGAUAUGGAUGGAAACUUCCCUGUCAAUGUAACCAACCACAAACAAAGCUCCUUCUCUUAGGGGCUCUCCCCUAUCACUCGAAAUUCGUUGGGAAGGAAGGAACCCUUUCUUUACGUACUAUUUUGCCUAUCGACCCGGUUCUGCUUAUCGACCCGAAUGAAUCAGUCGAUCCACUAAUAAAGCAUCGCAUUGAAAGCAACAGGAACUACACCUUGGGGAUUCCUCCCUGACCUGAGUCAAUCAAAAAAAUGCUUUUAUCUGAAAUCUCACUCAUGCAGAAGCGUAGGGAACGAACGGAGCGCGGAUGCGCGAAGUGAAAACUAGCAAUGCACGUUGGGAAUUUUGACCCUUCGAUGUGGGACCAACCAAACCAAAUGGAAGAAGGCGAGGGGGAUUGCCCCGAAGCAAUAGCAAGAGCUAACCUAAGUGCGCAAGCACACAGCUUAACAGAGCUAGGCGUACUUGCUCUUUUACUGGUCUCGGCUCUCACGGCUAGAGAGAAAUAGCCCUUCUUCGUUGGCUCGAAAGAACCAGCAAAGGAAGCAAGAAAACGGGUGCUAUAACGCGCAACGGCUUUCGCGUUCCCUUUACGUGAAUUGGGCCGUUGCUUGCUCGCUUGCCCUUCCCCACCUUUAAAGCCCCCCGAAAGGGGGAUUCAUUAAAGGGAUCGGCUCAUUCCAUUCCAGGCUUCACUUUUUGGUAUAGAUUUCGUUACGUUAGAAUAGCCCCUUAGCGAAUUUACCUUUGGAUCGCACUACACCAUAUAGUAAAGUCACCCUUCCCCGGGUCGCUGUAAGCUCGUUCAUAUAUACUCUCAUCCAAAUGCGGAGGAACUUCCACCCGCCUCAGCGAGGCGACCAGGGAGAGACUAAGAGACUACUGGUUGGACCAUCUCAAACGCAACCGCCCUUCCAAUGGCGUACGAUACCAGCUGCUGGAUAUAUGGGGAGGAUCGACCUCUCUUUCGUGAUUACACCUUCAUCACGCCUGUCCACCUGGAAGAAAUGAAGUGGAGACCCCCCCAUAUAUACCAUACAGCGACGAAGGGAAAAGACCCUGUUAGGGGGAACCCCGUCAAAUAGAGCGUACGCCCGUUAUAGGCAUUUUGGAGAAGCAGAAAGAAAUUACCAAAUUUUCGAGAAGAGGUGAGAACCAACAGAGGGGGGACGGUGAGUAGUUUACCAAUUACAUACUCUUAGAGAGAACAAUUGAACAAAGUCUUCGAAGAAGAAUCAAUGAAAACUACCGAAUCCAAUCUUCCAUACUGCGAGCGAAGUCAUGCAAACAAAGCUGCUGCUGCGCGCUCAGGAAAGCAGUGAUUCCCCUAUAUAAAUAUAGGAUAUCAAAUCAAAAAAAAAUUUAUAAAUAUAGGAUAUAUUAUUAUAUAAUAAUUUUAUGAAAAGAAAAAAAAACUCGAUCUCAGUGUCCACCUGAGUGUCAACACUUCUUAGUUUAAGGCGGGACUCCCCUUUUUGGAGCGGAGAUUCCACAUGCAAUGUCGGUGACCUGGAGAAUAGGGUUAGGCACUGGGUAGACAUGAGAUCAGACUAGCCAGCAAAGGUACCAUCCGAAGGCCACGACGACAGCCACGCUUUAGAUAGAAGGUCGUCAGGUAUGGCUUCGGAGGUACACUAGAAGGCAAGUAGCAAGAGCCCCGAGAAAGCGAGAAUUUCCGAGGACUAACGGUAACUAAGCGCAGUAUAAGACGGAACAACGUAUGAGCGUAAGCUAUAGGAGGGCAGCAAAGGCAAGUCAGCGGCUGAAAAGGUCAACCAAUAGACCAAGCGCCAGAGUGAGGGACAGCUAGCCAGAUAACACGAAAGGAAGAAAAUAAGCUCUGUUCAAAAUGAUCAAUAAAAAUGAUCGGGAGUAAUGAUCGAAUGCCGAGUAGAGUUUAUAAAGUGGAGUGAUCAUUGCUUGGAGACCCGAUGGAUGGGAGUCUCCCCCAUAGGAGCGAACUCAUUCCCACAUUCGUUAGCCGCAAAGCUAGAAACGGUCCCGGUUGGUCACUUUGGAAGGUAUCUCAGGUGAUCUUUGACCCCUGGCUGACCGCGUACAUCAAUGUCUCCCCACUAAUUAGGCAGACGACAGGACUAGUGUCGCACAACGCCAAUACCCUAUAGAAUGCAUAGCCAAAAAAGUAGACUAUAUGUACCGAUGAAAGUCAGAAAGGUUAUAAGCCCGACUGGGGCAAAGCAAGGGUUGUAGGCAAUGCGACAUCAGUUGGCAUAUAACAAAGGAUCAGUAAAAGCCAAUGACGGAGCUUACAAGUAAUUUAUACCUACCUAAUUUCGCUUCUUCUUGAAGCCUAUUUCGAGACCAUUCGACUCUAAGGAGUUAGAUGAGGGAAGACAAGAACAAUCUCGCUCAACAGAAUGCGAGUAUCCAGAACCUGAAAAGGCCACACUGGUAGUUGUAGAGCUCAGGAUGUCAGCUGGGACUUUCCCUUCCUGUCUAAAAACAGCGAGAAUCAAGCCAUGAAUGUUCUAUGGUCAUACUAUGAUGAAAUAAUAUACUAUUUGUUGUGGAAUGAAGUCAUGGUGAAUGAAUGAGAGAGCUUGAAAAAAGCAAUGCAUCAGGGCUAGGCUGACGAUGUCUGUCUGGCGUACCUAAUAAAGUUUGUAUAGGGCGCGUGCUACUCAUGACAAAUGCAUUAAGUUUUCCUAUAAUAAUAAGCCAUACCUAUCCAACAAAUAACAAAAACCUUAACAUAAGUAAGUACGCUUUGAUGAUCAGCCUAUUAAUUAAGCGAGGCCUUUCGAAGAAGGAAAGCCGACUGGUUGAGGAAUAGAUACGAAGAACUAGCUCUGCUUAGCUCCAUGUCAUGGUUAGCCUUAACAGGCUGGAUUGAAUGAAGGAGGAGUAUAAAGGAGAAGAAAAAAUGAAUUUAUAAAAAUGAUAUGCACUGAAUUCCAUCCACCCUUCUCACCAAGCGUUUUUAUAAUUAUAUAAUAUAAUUAUUAAUAUAUUAUUAUAUAUAAUAAUAUAAUAUAAUAUUAUAUAAUAUUAUAUUAUAUUAUUAAAAUAUAUAGGAGAUUACGGAUUUAAUAGACCAGAUUGUAAAGGGAGUCACAAGGUCCUUCUGUGUGUAUAAGACUCCGGUCCGUCUUUUUCUGUUUCCACUUCUACCAUGGUUACAUCCAAAACCCAUCCCAAUCAAAAUGAAAAGCCCCUAUUAUUUAAUAUUAUAUGGUAUUCGUAGCCUCAAAAAAAUGGUAGAUAAAACCAGAGACCCAUUUCCCAGAAGAAUCUCGAAUGAGUCCCCCAGCUCCAGCAGGGCUGGGGUUUCCCUUGGCUGCCCCAUCCGUAUUGAGUUUUACCCAGCCCUCUUCGGAAACGUAACGUCCAACUAAGCCAGCUUCCUUAUGCUUUUUUUCUUGCUGCUCAGGGAUAAAAAAAACAAUUGUUUAAUAAACUCGUAUUCAAACCCUCGGAUUGAAAGGAACUGACCGAUUUUCCCACUCAUUCCUAAAAAAAAUGAAUAGGAUGGUUUCAGAGAAGAAAAUCCCACUUCUUUUAAGACAUUGUGCAAAAAGCUCCAUAUAAUACGAUCAUAAGCUUUCUCCAAAUAUCUUUUCAAAAAUUCCAUCUGACCAUUUCCUACCUUUCCUCNNNNNNNNNNNNNNNNNNNNNNNNNNNNNNNNNNNNNNNNNNNNNNNNNNNNNNNNNNNNNNNNNNNNNNNNNNNNNNNNNNNNNNNNNNNNNNNNNNNNNNNNNNNNNNNNNNNNNNNNNNNNNNNNNNNNNNNNNNNNNNNNNNNNNNNNNNNNNNNNNNNNNNNNNNNNNNNNNNNNNNNNNNNNNNNNNNNNNNNNNNNNNNNNNNNNNNNNNNNNNNNNNNNNNNNNNNNNNNNNNNNNNNNNNNNNNNNNNNNNNNNNNNNNNNNNNNNNNNNNNNNNNNNNNNNNNNNNNNNNNNNNNNNNNNNNNNNNNNNNNNNNNNNNNNNNNNNNNNNNNNNNNNNNNNNNNNNNNNNNNNNNNNNNNNNNNNNNNNNNNNNNNNNNNNNNNNNNNNNNNNNNNNNNNNNNNNNNNNNNNNNNNNNNNNNNNNNNNNNNNNNNNNNNNNNNNNNNNNNNNNNNNNNNNNNNNNNNNNNNNNNNNNNNNNNNNNNNNNNNNNNNNNNNNNNNNNNNNNNNNNNNNNNNNNNNNNNNNNNNNNNNNNNNNNNNNNNNNNNNNNNNNNNNNNNNNNNNNNNNNNNNNNNNNNNNNNNNNNNNNNNNNNNNNNNNNNNNNNNNNNNNNNNNNNNNNNNNNNNNNNNNNNNNNNNNNNNNNNNNNNNNNNNNNNNNNNNNNNNNNNNNNNNNNNNNNNNNNNNNNNNNNNNNNNNNNNNNNNNNNNNNNNNNNNNNNNNNNNNNNNNNNNNNNNNNNNNNNNNNNNNNNNNNNNNNNNNNNNNNNNNNNNNNNNNNNNNNNNNNNNNNNNNNNNNNNNNNNNNNNNNNNNNNNNNNNNNNNNNNNNNNNNNNNNNNNNNNNNNNNNNNAUCCGGUCCCGUGGCUGUUUCGGGCUUCAUGUAAAAGCUUUUUUGAUCUACUGAGUAUAGAUAGGUUUAUUUUUCCUGUUCUUGCUCGCCUCAGACAUAAGUCGUCUUAUGAAACGAAUUCGGCUGGAGAUAGGCAUUCGGGAAACAUUCCUAAAAAAAAAAAGGCACUUGAACAUAGGAUUGACGUAUUUUUUAUCGAAGGAGAAUGUUCAAAAUCCAGCUUCACUGUACUGAUAAGAGUAACCUUAAAGAUUGUAGGUAGGUAGUCUAGGGUGCAUUGAAUUCAGGCUUGAUUCUGUACUCAUUCCAUGCCCAUGCUUGUGUUGAAUGCCGGUUUUUUUGAAUUCGGCGUAUUCAAAUGACCCGCCUAUAGCAAUCUCUUACCAGCAAGAAGGAGCAACUCAUACAAUUCCAUACUAAGCACCAUGGCAUGGCUAUUUUCCGAAAUUCAAUUACUCUAUGCUACAGCUGGGACUGGAUUGGCUGAGAAAUAUCCCCGGAAAAGGCCUUCCUGCACGUACGCAUUGACCCGGAGCUCUAGCCCAGCCCUGCUAGGUAUAUAGCAGGUGUACCAUUUUUGUAGUUGUAAGACCUAAGUACCGCUUUCAAACCUCGAAGGUGUAUCUACGUCCUCGAAAAGCUAAAGCUCUCGGAACUUCUUCGAAGCCUAGAGUUUUCCUACAGGAUCCGCACUCAACUGUGCACUCACUACUACACUACACCACUUACACUUAUAAUAAAUAAGAGCGAUUUCGUGUAAUAACCCUUUCGCAUUUCAUCGGUAUGAGUUUUGGCGUGGCGUUCUUUUUUUACGUCAUUUUUUUCAUAUAGUCCCAACUAGGGUCAAAUUCUGACCAAUAUGCCAUGCAUGAACAAUUGUUUUGACUGCAUUCAACCAUGUACAAGCAUCCAGUCGACCCAAAUCCUGCCAUGGAGAAUGAGUAACCAAUUCCUUCGGCCACAUUAGGCCAACAACUUCAAGGGAAGGGUUAUACAUCCCCGAGCUGAUGGUAUGAAUACCGCAAAUCGUACCAGACAUAGAAGAAUAAAGUUGGGAAGGCUCCCGUAAUGAUACGGCUCUGCAAUCUUGAUCAUGAUCUUCAAAAAAAAAAGCGGAAAUGAUCAGCAAGUAGUUCCUCCUCCUACUCACCAAAGUCCUAACCGCCAACUGUACGUGAAUACUUGAUAAAAAGAAAGGCUUUGAGAAAGGAGGUCCGAGCUAUGCAUCAAGCAUUCGCUGAAGCGGGAUUCCUAAAAAUAGGAUUCUCCUUCUAUUAUUUCUGCCAUUUCCCAGAAGUCUAGCUGACUCAGCUGCUGAGUGGUUCACCUCUUGUCCACCUAGAUUGUUCAAUUCAUUUGCUGACCUGGCAAACCAAUUCAUCAAAAGGUUCUCUUUCAACAUAGACAUCCCAAUAUGGAUUAACUUCUUUCCACGAAAGAGCGACCUGUUGCCGGAGUAUGAAACUGUUGCUACCAUUUUGAGGAAUGCUUCUGAGGCACCUUACUUAGGCCAUUCUUUAUGAUUGAACCUCCCUUUAGAAGCCUUGGAGGGCUCUUCUCUUGAACUAACGCUUGGAUCUGGGCUUCUAUAUCGUUUACCCUAUAGCAUCCAGAAUAAAACGCGUCUCAAACCCACUUUUUUCCAAAAAAUCCCAUGAUGAAACAAAGGACCCCGAUGAGGGAAGUGGAACAAUGUUAAGACCUUGGCUGUCACAACAAGCAACCAAUCAGUUCAAUUCAAGUCCCAAGGUCUGAUGGCCAGCGACCAUCAUCUCAAAAACUACCCAUUCUGAACGUUUUCCUUAUGUCGCAGCAACCAGCUAGCUAGAACUAGAAGAAGAAGAAGGCGAGCUACCAGAUGAGCUAACCAGCAUACUUUCUAUGUUGAAUAGAAGGAAUGAAAGCGACGUACCGUAUUGACCGGCGGGUAUAUUGAUUAAUGAAAGAACUAAACCACCGCCCGCAGCUGCUCCUGCUCCUCCAACGCCAACGGCUACUGAUUGUGUCAGCCAUUCCUUUCUUCUUGCUAUUGAUAUAGUGGAAUUCAUUCCAGUCAUUCCCUCCUACACCCUUCUGAUCUAAAAUUGUUGUAAUUCCAAAUUUGACUUCAACACUUGGGUGGUAACUCAUUUACUUCCAACAAUGGGAUUGACUUCUUCUAUUGGAAUUGGAACUGAAACUCUUCUCUUUAAAAUCCUCAUCAUAUUCAACUGAAACUGAAAUGACUGGAUUUCCAGAAACAGCUCCCGCGUCUCCUCCUCCGUAUGCUACUUCUUAAUUGUAAAAAAAGAAGUCAUUUUUGCACCCCCCCUCAAUGGGCUCCUCUCUUGUGUACUCCCUCUCUUUCUCCGUGUGCAAGUUUUCUAUAUGAAAUAUGAAUUGGCCACCUCCACCGUUAGCCAGCGGAUAUGUAUUUAUAAAAAGAAGAACUGAAACCGAAGAAGCGAAAGAGCCAACCGGCAUAUGUAUUUAUAAGAAAAACCGAAAGCCUUGACCGGGCCUGUCCUCUUCUUGCUCGGGAAUAGGAGGAUGUAACUAGAUUCCCUCAUUAAGAUUCAACAACAGCUUUAUCCCCAUGAAAAUGGAAAUCCUCCUCCCCAGAAACAGGAAAAACGACUACUUCUUCUCCAAAAACUGGAUCUGUUAGUGCCUCCAUUUCCCUGAUUGUGCCAGCUACGUCCUUCCUCUACUAUAUAUAUAUAUAUAUAUCUUCAAAAGGCUAAAAAUAAUGGGUUUGAAUGCAUCUGAAAGCAGCACUCGUACUAUCACCCAUGUUAAAUAAAAGAAAAAGAUGGAUUGACGACUACCGAAUGCUUUACAUCAGAAUGUCAUACUCUAGUAAAAGAUUACUACUCAAAUUUAUUUAAACGAGCCUGAUGGAUUCGACAACGGCCGGGGCAUACAGCUUCCCUUAGAGUCUUACAUGACGAAAAGGCAGAAAGAAGAUUGGUUAGAAGAUCGGAGGCUGGAUCUCUCUCCUCAUGGUUUGGGAUAUCUGCCGCUUGACCUCUCUUCCCCGAAGAAGUAUGAAGAAGAAAGAGAUCGAGAGUCCUCUAAUACAGAAAGUUGGGAUUCGAAUAUAAGCAUACCCUACUUUUUCCCUUUAGCUGUAAACUGUACCACAGCGAAGCCAUCGACGCCUCCAGGAAAUGAAGAGAGGCUGAUAGAGAGGCAAAACCAAACUAAGGUUGGAGAACUCCAAGAAACAUGGCUACAGACUGUAGCAACCGCUCACCGAAUCACGCUCCCAACUCAAAUGACCGUGUCGUUCUGCUCAAAGAAUCAUUGUGGACACAAUUGCCCGCACUGGUUAGAAGAGGAAGACCCAGAAAUAGACUGGAGCGAGAUUGACGGGUUCCUGACAGAGCCCGAGGAAGAUUUGUUUCGGGUAGUAACUGCAAAUAUGGUUUCAGUCGAAGAAGAUGGGCAAGAAAUCAUGACUUGGGAAGAUAACCCCUCUGAAGAACCUCGAGAGAACCUGAAACCAGUACCACCCACAGAUGAUGAAGUUCGACAGGUUGACCUGGGAACGGAAGGCGACCCUCGCCCAAUCUUCCUAAGUGCCAGCCUAUCAUCAGAGGAAGCUGAACAAUACGUCCAGCUCCUUAAGGAAUACUUGGACAUAUUUGCCUGGAGUUACGCUGAGAUGCCUGGGCUAGACCCUGAAAUCGCCGUCCACAGGCUUAAUAUCAAACCAGAUGCUAAGCCCAUCAAGCAAGCGCAACGACGCUUUCAUCCACUCCUCAUGAAGAAGAUUGAGAAAUAAGUGCAGAAAUUAAAGGAUGUGGGUUUCAUAAGAGAAGAGAAACAUCCCGAUUGGUUGGCAAACAUUGUUUCAGUGACCAAGAAGAACGGGCGGAUUCGGGUUUGCAUUGACUUCAGAGACCUGAAUAACGCAUUCCCUAAGGACGAAUUUCCUCUGCCGAUCGCGGAAAUCAUGAUAGACAAUACCUGCAGAUAUGAAAAGAUGUCUUUCAUGGAUGGCUUGUCUGGGUAUAACCAAAUCAAAAUGGAUCCAGACGACAAAAGGCACACGUCCUUUAGAACUCCAUUCGGUACGUACUGCUAUACAGUGAUGCCAUUCGGUCUCAAAAAUGCUGGUGCCACCUACCUUACUAGAAAGGGCUAUGAUGCAGAUAUUUCGAGAUCAACAACAUAAAACAGUAGAGUGUUACGUGGAUGACCUCGCAGUUAAAAGCAGAAAGAAGAUCACCUCGCAGAUCUACGAAGGGUCUUGGAGAUACUUCGAAAGCACAACAUGAGGAUGAAUCCCCGAUCAUGCUUUCUGGGGGUAGUAACUGGAAAGUUAUUGGGAUUUGUUAUUACAAAAGAUGGAAUCACAGUUGACCCAGCAAAAACUACAGCCAUCCUUGAAAUGAAACCACCAACUAACCUCCGGGAACUCAAACGGCUACAAAGAAGAAAUACCUCCUUCAGAAGAUUCAUCUCAAACCUAUCAGGAAGGUGUCAACCGUUUUCACGCCUAAUGAAGAAAGGGAUCGAAAAAGUAUGGGAUCAAGCCUGUGACAACGCGUUCCAGAGCAUCAAGCAAUACUUAACACAACCACCAGUCCUAGCCUAUCGAGAGGGCAAGGUUUCUAGGAAUUAGGUAUAGUAAGAUGCGCGGGCCCAGGGUGAGAAGAAGCUCUUCAUCUGAGCUAGAAAUAUCUUAAUAUAAGACAGAUCUAGGCUAGAACGAAAUCCCACUUUCUUGAUGUAGUUCCUCCGACUUGAAUCCAGAUUGCUGCCCACCUUUAGCGAACAAAUGGGACUAUGGUCAUGAUGGAAUAGAACCUCUUCCUCCUCCUACCAACUCUGCACUCUGUUCACGGUUAGCUGGGAAUUGAACUCUUCUUUCAUAGAUUGGCGAAUGUGAAAAAGAGACUUUAAUUAAGUCUUUAUCACUCAUCUUUCUAUCGAAAUGCUUGAAUCAUAGCCCUAGUCUUAGAGCUAGGAGCGAACGGUCACCUUCCUAGCCCAGCGACUUUCCAGGAAAGAAGAGCUAAGCCUUCAAGUCCUAGGUCCUAUUCCUUUCUUGCGAGAUGCUUUGAAUAGCUAUCCUUUCGUACCCGUACCUGUGGGAUUCGACUUUCCUUGGCGAUUGGGUCCAUGAUCAAAUAAGCUCUUACUUCGCCUCGAAAGGGAGCUGCGUAGGUAGACUAGAAGUAGUAGUUCCCGGCAAAAGAGAAUUUCUUUUUGAUUGAGUUCCAGGCUCCAGGCUUAAGAGCCGAAUUAGCCAUUGGGAUUGGUGUACAGACAAGACUGAUUGAGAUUCGUAAUUAGCUGCAAUAAAAGAAUACGCUCUUUCGACAGAGAAGUGAACGACUCCGAUCUGCAGAUGUUUGAGGGAAGAAGACGGUGCUAGCGAAGUUAAUUAACUAAAAGGCAUCGGUUGACUCUAUUUCUAAGAGCAGGGGAAGAAGGAGAGAGUUUAUUCUUUUUAUUAUUAAUAAAGCAUAUGGAGCAGACUUCCCCUUUCUAGAAGACAGGGGAUAGAGCUUUGAAUAGCCGUAGCAAGGGAAGCAAGGAGCUUUCUUUCCUCUCACUAAGAACCCCUAGAGCAAUAGACGGAAUUCGGAAUUAGUGGGGUAGCUGCUAGGAUAGAUGCAUAGAAUCCGGAUGCCGAGAAUACGCGGUUAAGGUAGAAGAUCUCAAGUCAAAUCAUUAGCUUCGGUGAACAAGAUAAGAUCAAAUUGCUCCUCUUUCAGGAUUCCGUGACAGAUGGGAUUCUUUGGGCUAGGAUCUAAAGAGAUGGCUAUGAGCCUGUAGUAGCUUGACAGUAGGAAGAGUCUAAAGGCCUAACCGCAGCUAUUGAAUCAACUAUUCUUGUUCAAGCUGUUCUUGCUUGAGUUGAAUCAGCCGAGAGUUCAUCAAGAGAGGAGAAUCAAGGUAGUGAAGUGACAAAAGGUGGUUCAGUGACCGAUGGGAAAAAUCAUUCAAUCUCGGGACAAAGGGCAGAAGGGAAGGUAGCUCGUGAUUCUCGUCUCGGUCUUCUCGAAAGGUAGUUUAGUGGGUAGGCAACUCACUCAAUCAAUAGGAAUUCUCUCUAGAACCCUAGAAGGAAGCCUUGGGCUAGGAACCAGAGAAAGGGAAGUAGUAAUGGUUCAUGUAGCAGUGGAAGAUCUUAACUAGGCUACGAAGGAACUUUCGGAUCCGGAUUCAAUGAUUUCGGUUAGGAUGGAUCCGUUUAAGAAGAAUAAGGUCUUACUCGUUGAAGGGUAACGGCAAAGCUUUUUUCGUGGAAAUGGGAUAUCAAUAGCUUUCCUUUCUUUCACAAAGGAAGAAGCAUAGAAGGUGCGAAGCGAUUCUUUAACCCCAAAAGGGGAAGUGCAGUCACUAUCUAGAAAAAGGGGCUCGGCUACUUAGAAGGUAGGAGUUCACACCGGGGAAUCUCUUUCUUAAUUAAUUGAAAGCGGAUGCCAUUGAAAGAAAGAAAGAAAAGAGAGUGACGGAACUGACGGGAAUAAGGUUAAGCCUGACCUGACCCGAGGGUGAAAAUAGGAAGAGAUUUCAUUUCAUCACAAAUGAACUUAGAUAGAGGCCGAAUCGAAUAAGCGAGCGCGGCUAUUUCAUCCGCAUCUGUUGUCGUUGAAGGAAUACGGGCUGCAAGAAUGGCUAUUUCUGCUCUUGGAGGAAGGGCCAGUAGCUGUAGUAGUGGAAGUAGUAGUAGCGGUCAGUGUUUUUGCUGUUACAGAAGCAAUAGGCUUGGAUGGGCGUGAUAGCUUGAAGAAAGAGUACCGGGCUCAAGGCCCUUCUUAUUUGACUUUGACUCUGCUGGAACUGGCUUCUGUUUUGGAUGCGCUUCUCUCUUUCCUCCCUGUGCCUAUCUUCAAUGAGGAAUGGCGGGGCGGUCUCGUAUAUAAUAUAUAAGAAAUAGACUGCUUUUCGGUUUGGUUUAGGAGUUCUCUUUCCCUAUCCGCUUUUUGCAGGUGCAGAUGAAGAAGAAGGCUCGAGCUCGAUAAUAGCUCCUUUCUCUUAGGUCUUGCCGCUGUGAUCUUUUCUCUUGUUGAAGAAGCUGGGAUUGGACCGGCUUUCCUUNNNNNNNNNNNNNNNNNNNNNNNNNNNNNNNNNNNNNNNNNNNNNNNNNNNNNNNNNNNNNNNNNNNNNNNNNNNNNNNNNNNNNNNNNNNNNNNNNNNNNNNNNNNNNNNNNNNNNNNNNNNNNNNNNNNNNNNNNNNNNNNNNNNNNNNNNNNNNNNNNNNNNNNNNNNNNNNNNNNNNNNNNNNNNNNNNNNNNNNNNNNNNNNNNNNNNNNNNNNNNNNNNNNNNNNNNNNNNNNNNNNNNNNNNNNNNNNNNNNNNNNNNNNNNNNNNNNNNNNNNNNNNNNNNNNNNNNNNNNNNNNNNNNNNNNNNNNNNNNNNNNNNNNNNNNNNNNNNNNNNNNNNNNNNNNNNNNNNNNNNNNNNNNNNNNNNNNNNNNNNNNNNNNNNNNNNNNNNNNNNNNNNNNNNNNNNNNNNNNNNNNNNNNNNNNNNNNNNNNNNNNNNNNNNNNNNNNNNNNNNNNNNNNNNNNNNNNNNNNNNNNNNNNNNNNNNNNNNNNNNNNNNNNNNNNNNNNNNNNNNNNNNNNNNNNNNNNNNNNNNNNNNNNNNNNNNNNNNNNNNNNNNNNNNNNNNNNNNNNNNNNNNNNNNNNNNNNNNNGUAUAGUUAAAAAGCAUUCCCCAGUCUCUUCUCCUUCUAUCCCUUAUUUCAUAACAUCUGCUAGCAAUCAUUAUAAGUUCCUUUCUCUUUCUCUAAGGUGACUCGCGGCACACUUCGUAUAUGUAUGAUUGAAUGCCGACAGCAUUCGUUCAGAGUCGCGAAGAGGAAUCAGAUCAGAGCCUGGCCACUCCACUUAAGGUAAAGCUUUCCCAUCGAGAACAGGAUUGGCAAUGGCUAGUGAAGAGCUGAAGAAAAGCUAUUCUUUUUCUCACAUCUCGAUUUCUCUCUCAACGCUCAAUGGAAGCUGAAGCUAUCUUGCUCAGUUUUUCCUUCUUAGGGCGUAGGGGGAAGAUAAGAGACUUUGCUGCACUCAUUCAUUCCGGAAGUUACUACGCUUCGCGCCUUCCUCUAAUUAGUCUGCUCUGCUCUCAUCCAGCAAGCUCUCUAACACUAGCUAGCGCUAACCUCUCUUUAGCCUAUCUGUCCUCUUCGCUACCUCUCAACAGUAAACUAGUCGCUUAGCGGAGCUCGUUCUAUGGACAAGCUUGAGUUAGGCAUCGAGUGAAGAGCAAACAAGAAGCCCAGACUGUUGCCCGGCUGACAACCUGGCUUUGAAUAGGAACGAGAUGAAGAGAGGUAGCUCGCUAGAGGGCGAAAAGCGAGCCAGAAGAAAGCCAAGCUGGAGUUGGCGGUUUGAGCCCUGAGUUCUUGUUCGUAGCUAAAGCAAAACGGGAGCUAAACCAGGGCCGCUAUUCUGAAAGAAUAGAGUAAAGGCUACGCAGUAGAAGCUAGUCUCUAACAAGAAGCAAAACGACCUUAUUUACUAGCGCUAUAAUACCUUUUUGCUUUAGACACAUGGCCUCUUUCAGAGGCACCCUAAUAUGGGACGAGCGAUACACGGGCCAUGUAGCUAAGCGGGCUAGGCAACGGCAUACGAGUUAGCGUCUACGGUUAGCUACUGGAAAUCCUUUAACAAGCAAGUAGUGCUUAACGCCCUUAGUUUUGGCUAUCUUUAGGUGGAUGACAGGUUCUAAGCAAGCAAGGGUAAACUUGAGCUACGGUAUGGGAACUUGAGCUAGGUAGAUUAGUUUCAGUAGUUGUAGUUGUUCAGUAGGGAACUGGAAUUCAAGAUAGGGGGCUUUAGCCGAAGCUGGUCUGUAAACUGGUAGUUGUUGUUCGCAAGCAAGCGGGCAGGUUUUGAGUUGGAUGUUCGAGCAAGCGUAGCCUUCAGUGCUCUACGAUCAGAGUUCUAUUCUACGGCUAAUUGUGCUACUUGAAAUCGUUAGUAUCGGGUAUCUUGUUAUCUAACUCUCGUUACUGCGCUUUAACGACACCGUAGUGGCAGUUUUAAAGAUAGGAUAACGAGGCAUGGAAGCUUUCUGCUAUGCUAUUAGAGGAGAGUUACUGUAAACACACAACUUCCACCCUGUUGGCUGUAGUUUUAGCUUGUAUAUGUGAGAAAUUAACAAGAAAAAAAACCAGAUUCAAAAAAAAUGCAAAUCUGAAAUUUUUCUGCACAAAACAGGAGUAGCCACUUGGCUUUUCUUUUCAAAAGGUUAAACAACUCUGGUGCCAUCUUCUCUGGUAUCUGGUGAUUUUGCACCACCUGGGGAACUCGCACUGUUUCCAGGCAAUCCUAGCAACCUUGGCUCCCACAGUACCAUUCAUAUCAUGCGACACCAUUUAGUUCUUCUCAGUUUCAUCUUACUCAGUCAUUGGGCAGCUGUCAAAGACCUAAAACUUAAGGGUGAGUUCCCUCACCUAUCCUAGAUUCCAAAGCUGUCAAAUCAGAGUAUGAGAAGUUGUCUGAGGCGGCUUGGUAAAGAUUUCAUUGCUAGAAUAUCUGAAAUCUAGGUUGCUGGCUUAUGUAAAGCUAAACCUGUUUGUUGGACACGUUUUCUAUUAAGCUCUAUGAUAAACGAAAUGUCAGACAUGAACAAACCAUAUAUAAGGUAUGACGAGAUAUUCUUCUUUAAGAAAGAAAUUUCGACGGAAAAUGCUAUCUAUUUGUCAAAUCUCAUAGCGCCAUCUAUUUCUCCAAGAAUUGAAAGUCAUACAUUUGGUUCCAGGGGGUACUCUGCAUUCGGCUCAUCCCAUGCUAAUGAUUCUGACCUUGGAAAUGAGGAAGCCCCUAUCAUCCUGCGUACCAAGAUCCGUGGACACGGAACGAGAGUUCAAAGGUCUUUUUCUUUGCAGCCGAAUUCCACUUUGAUCGAUAUUGUAUGCGCUCGGCGGACAGCCCUAUUAGUAAGCCUCACAUCAUAGCUUUCGUUACUCUUUCCCUUUCUCCUCUGUAGGAGAGCUUUCUUUUAUCCCGUCGUAUGCAAAGCAUAUUUCAGAUCGAAGAGACGGUUGUCGAUGCACAUCUGGACUUCAGGCUCAUCGAGCUCCUUUUCGCACUGAAGCGUUAACUUCAGCCAUCGGGCAAGAGUUGCGUCAAACGGUUCUCCCUUCGUCUGCUUUGUAGCAAGGAGCUCCGAAUAGGAAAGGCUUCGAGAGACUGAAGAAAAGCGCCUAUGAAAGGCCUCGACCAUUUGCUGCCAUGAAUGGAUAGAGUUGGGAGGAAGCCUCCCAUACCAACUAAAGGCUACACCAGACAACGAGGCCGAGAACUGGCGGAAUAAAAGACGCUCGUCGUGAGCCGUGUCUCCACAGCUGGUCUCGAAAUGAGCGAUGUGCUCGACCGGGUCUCCGGUCCCAUCGUAGAUCCGUCACUGGGGCAUAACAACAUUUAAAGGAAAACGGACGGAUGCAGUGGUAGCGGGUCAGGCUUACGAUAGCCUUGGUUGGGAUCGUCGCCUGACGCGCGUCAUUCGUUUGAAAUAAUCUUCCGGAUUUUCUGCUCUGUUAGCAGAGCGUUUGGAGGCCGAGGCUCAUCCGGCUGUUCCGGGUUGCACUCGUCCGCCCACCUGGGACCUAUCGAGGGGAGGGAAGUGGAAGGUUGACGUGAGGUGGACGGCCCUCCUGGUCUUCACCUAAUUGUGGAAGAGGGGAGUAUCAACUCUCUCUCGCGCCUUUCUUCAGCUUGCUUCUUCCUGUUCGUCCAUUCGGGACGGGGCAGGCAGCCCACAUACAUGAAGAGAAGAAGAGGGGGGUUCCUUGAUAUUAAGGUGUCAAGGCGGUCGAAGAAGGCAACAAGUGGAAGCAACCGAUGCUUUGGUCAUUCAGUUGACUCCUCUGUGCUUGCUGUCAUGCUGGCAAAAGCGGGGGUUUCGGCCGGUUUUACCUACUAUUGGAUUUGAACCAAUGACUCUCGCCGUAUGAAAGCGAUACUCUAACCGCUGAGUCAAGUAGGUCAAGCUGAGUCAAGUCAGAGAAAAUAGACUAUAAGAGAAAGCCAACCAAAGCGCAACCAGAGUUCUCCGCGGGGUGGAGCGCUAAGAAAGAGAAAGCGUUAUCGCUAUACGAAAUGAAGCAGCGGCUAGCACGCUAAGAUAAACCACUUGGAAAAGGCGUCGCCUUUCUUUCUCGGUCGUCUGUCUUAAUUCAUGUUGUAAUGCGGUCGUUCUCUGCUGCAUUGGUGUUUUCACUCCCCACUCUCCACCAUAACCAAAUUUUUCUACCAUAUCUCAGGAGUAGUCAAAGGAAGUACGGCGGGUCCAAGUAGGAAUAAAUUCACUAAGAAGUAGGGGCAUAGCCGUAGAAAAAGAAAAACAUGAAUCCGGGGGCUUUCAUUAUCACGUUGGCAUUCUAAACAAGAAUGCUAGUAGGUAUACCGCAACGUCUAAAUUCAGGGAAGCUUUCCCUGAAUUCGGGGGUGCUCAAAUUUACGUUUUGUUCCAUAAGUCAUGGGGGACGAUUUGUGAGUAUGUGCUUAAGGAAGACGAAAAUCCUAUAACUUGGGGAGAAAUCUCGAGAGAGAAUCUCCGACAGACGGCAAAAGCAAAAAAAGAUCACAAAAGAAUAGGUAGUCAACAUUUUGAGGGGCUUUUUCUUUCCAAAAUGAAAGAAAAGGUUGAUUGGUACCAGAUUUACGAAGAGGAAGUGUUAGCGAGAGCUUGUCUGUCAAACUACUCCGCUAUACGAAACGUUCAUGAAGAUUUGCAAGUAAUAAAAGAAAUGCAAACAACGCCUCUAGAGCGCAUCUACACCUACCUAAAUAAGCAUGGGCGCCCCGAUGAGUAUGACAUAGAAUAUUUAAAGGAGAAGUAUUUAUUCCUAGACUGGCUAGCCUGAAAACUAAUCUUCCAAAGGCCAAUCAAGACAAAACCACUCUUUAUCUACGGCAAACCGAGCACCCAAAAGACUCUAAUUAUUAAUAUAUUGGCUAGAUGUUUCGUAUGGUUCAAUAAUNNNNNNNNNNNNNNNNNNNNNNNNNNNNNNNNNNNNNNNNNNNNNNNNNNNNNNNNNNNNNNNNNNNNNNNNNNNNNNNNNNNNNNNNNNNNNNNNNNNNNNNNNNNNNNNNNNNNNNNNNNNNNNNNNNNNNNNNNNNNNNNNNNNNNNNNNNNNNNNNNNNNNNNNNNNNNNNNNNNNNNNNNNNNNNNNNNNNNNNNNNNNNNNNNNNNNNNNNNNNNNNNNNNNNNNNNNNNNNNNNNNNNNNNNNNNNNNNNNNNNNNNNNNNNNNNNNNNNNNNNNNNNNNNNNNNNNNNNNNNNNNNNNNNNNNNNNNNNNNNNNNNNNNNNNNNNNNNNNNNNNNNNNNNNNNNNNNNNNNNNNNNNNNNNNNNNNNNNNNNNNNNNNNNNNNNNNNNNNNNNNNNNNNNNNNNNNNNNNNNNNNNNNNNNNNNNNNNNNNNNNNNNNNNNNNNNNNNNNNNNNNNNNNNNNNNNNNNNNNNNNNNNNNNNNNNNNNNNNNNNNNNNNNNNNNNNNNNNNNNNNNNNNNNNNNNNNNNNNNNNNNNNNNNNNNNNNNNNNNNNNNNNNNNNNNNNNNNNNNNNNNNNNNNNNNNNNNNNNNNNNNNNNNNNNNNNNNNNNNNNNNNNNNNNNNNNNNNNNNNNNNNNNNNNNNNNNNNNNNNNNNNNNNNNNNNNNNNNNNNNNNNNNNNNNNNNNNNNNNNNNNNNNNNNNNNNNNNNNNNNNNNNNNNNNNNNNNNNNNNNNNNNNNNNNNNNNNNNNNNNNNNNNNNNNNNNNNNNNNNNNNNNNNNNNNNNNNNNNNNNNNNNNNNNNNNNNNNNNNNNNNNNNNNNNNNNNNNNNNNNNNNNNNNNNNNNNNNNNNNNNNNNNNNNNNNNNNNNNNNNNNNNNNNNNNNNNNNNNNNNNNNNNNNNNNNNNNNNNNNNNNNNNNNNNNNNNNNNNNNNNNNNNNNNNNNNNNNNNNNNNNNNNNNNNNNNNNNNNNNNNNNNNNNNNNNNNNNNNNNNNNNNNNNNNNNNNNNNNNNNNNNNNNNNNNNNNNNNNNNNNNNNNNNNNNNNNNNNNNNNNNNNNNNNNNNNNNNNNNNNNNNNNNNNNNNNNNNNNNNNNNNNNNNNNNNNNNNNNNNNNNNNNNNNNNNNNNNNNNNNNNNNNNNNNNNNNNNNNNNNNNNNNNNNNNNNNNNNNNNNNNNNNNNNNNNNNNNNNNNNNNNNNNNNNNNNNNNNNNNNNNNNNNNNNNNNNNNNNNNNNNNNNNNNNNNNNNNNNNNNNNNNNNNNNNNNNNNNNNNNNNNNNNNNNNNNNNNNNNNNNNNNNNNNNNNNNNNNNNNNNNNNNNNNNNNNNNNNNNNNNNNNNNNNNNNNNNNNNNNNNNNNNNNNNNNNNNNNNNNNNNNNNNNNNNNNNNNNNNNNNNNNNNNNNNNNNNNNNNNNNNNNNNNNNNNNNNNNNNNNNNNNNNNNNNNNNNNNNNNNNNNNNNNNNNNNNNNNNNNNNNNNNNNNNNNNNNNNNNNNNNNNNNNNNNNNNNNNNNNNNNNNNNNNNNNNNNNNNNNNNNNNNNNNNNNNNNNNNNNNNNNNNNNNNNNNNNNNNNNNNNNNNNNNNNNNNNNNNNNNNNNNNNNNNNNNNNNNNNNNNNNNNNNNNNNNNNNNNNNNNNNNNNNNNNNNNNNNNNNNNNNNNNNNNNNNNNNNNNNNNNNNUUGGAUACUCACACUACCGGAGCACUCUCUCACGUUAACCCUCCUAGGGAAAGACAAGCAGUUUUUGAGUAUGGAGACUAUUGGUACGGGGAAUAACAGGAAUGGAGCGGUAUGAAAGAGAAUUCCCACAAACUGGCCUACACCGACAGCAUAGAGAACUACAACUCCAACUGGCAAUAAACCGGCUAAAAAUUAGGUCCUUUACCCUGCUUGAUAGUCAGAUGUUUCAUAUGCUGCAUAAUUAGACCGUGUAAAAUACCGUCUCUACAACACUUGUUAAGCAUACGGUGACUGCAACUGCUAUGAUAUAAGGGGGACUGGGCGGACCUCACAACAGAUAGCUGGAAACGGGCCUCGUCCCACAGAAAAGUCAACUGGCUUGCUUACUAAAUGCUCGUAUGUAACAAAGGAACUCACCACAAUGACUUGAAGCAAACUCCCACUCGAUCGAAGGGGAGGCAGGGAUAAAAAACAAAAGGGCAGCAAAGCACUAGCUUACAGGGAAGAACUGGCAGGAAAUGUAUGAAAGAAAUAUGGCACGAGGUAAUGCUACUGGAAAAUGACAAUUACACUAUUUUAUAUAGGGCAUAUAUGCCUUUAAAACGGUAACUCGGUAUUAAGCAAAUUAUAACUAUUAGUCCUCUUACUCGUAGUCCUGCGCUAUUACUGGUAAGAGUCAAAACUUCUUAAUAGGCGGUCUCUUUAGAAGAGAUAUUAUCUAGGCUGGCAACUGCUACUCCAACUGUAAAACCCCCAGGGGAAACUCCAACAUCUACUGGAUCUCAAGCAGGGAAUAGCCCCGAUGAUCGUUAUCUCCUUACAAACAACGGGAAAUCAUUAGCUCGCUUGGAUCGAAAGUAGAGUGAUUCCCUCAGGGGCAGAAAGAAGCCUAUUCUAGGGGAAAAAGCCUAUUAUAGAGGAAGAGAGCAGCAUAGCACAACCCAUAGUCUAGUAUUCAAAAAGCAUAUUAUAUUUCCUAUUUAUAUAGGGGCAGAAUUAUCUAUCUAUUAUAUAGAACCCUCCCCGAGAAAUUGUUAGCCCUACCUGGGACUGCCGGAAAGGCUUACUUUGAGGGAGGGGGGACUACUAGCUCGCUAGCUUGAAAAAGAGUUAUGGAUACUGGUAUGCCUAGGACUGUUGUAAAGGAUUGAAAGGAAAAGCACUGACGCUAUGCCAUCAUACUAUAAGGCUCUUUCUUGAGAUGAAAUUACGAGACCAAAGAUGGGGGGAUUCCCAUAUAACACCAUAUAACAUAUUCCCUGGAAAUAUUACAUAUGAAUGGGUGUCUUCUGGGAUAAGUUAAGUGACACCACAGGAGGAAAUACUCGAACUGGAUGGCUGGGUGAAGAUAUAGGAAUAUGACGCCAUCCCUAAUAGACUGCCUUGAAAGGGAAUAUAUAGUAUAUUUAUAAGGACCACCUAAAGGCCCUAUUGAUACCCUGCUUCUAAAGAAGCUGCUAUAUCCCCUGCUGGAUUGCUUGACUCCUUUUCAAGAAAAAUGAACUAUUUUUCCCUUGCUUGAUGUGAGUGCAUUGCUUUCAGGAGUGGGAACUCAACCAGCUUCUGGUCCGGAAAGCUCGUUUGGAACCCCAAACAAAGAAAGGGACUCCCGCUCAAACCGUAGAUAAAAGGGAUUCUAUUACGGCUGGAAGAAAACCCCCAAAGAAACUCCAACUCGCUCCAAGGUAAAAAGAAGCACGUCCACUGCAAGAGAACUCAAAUCGACGGAAAGUGAUUAGUUAGGAUUGGCUGGAAAGGAUUUCCUGAGGACUGAAGCAUCAUGGCCUGCAACUGACACUUUUAUUGGGGAGGCUUACCCUAGGAGUGCAUUUGUAUGGCUGGCAACUACUACUGGUCCUAUAGAAAGUGACUCCAACUUCAACUGCAUCUAAGCUUUCUCCAAUUGGAGAGAAGAGAGAAGAAAUGAAAGAAAAAUCCUGCUAUUCUUCACUCACUUGAAGAAGAUUUUGAAGGCUUACUUGAUACCGCCUUACACAAGGGAGAGUAGCGCUUAUGAAUGAAAGGCAAUUGGCUAAAGAUGGCUUAGGCCCCUGCUAAAGAAAGAGCUAAUAUUUGGAAAUCAACUUCUAGGCCGGCUUUCUCACCUUGAAAAGGAAAAUCAAGGGACAAACAAAUAGAAAUACUGGGUUUAGAGGGUCUAACCCCAUUGCUAUCCCCGGUACCAGGAAUCCUAAUCCUACACUGUAAAGGGACGGAGUUACUGGAAAUAUAAAUCCAGGAAACAAAUCACUGGCUAGUCAAAGACAGGGACUUCGAAACCUCUGGCUUAAAAGAGACUUUAAUACUCCUUCCAUUUUAAAGAAAUACUCCAGCUUGCUCAUUUGAAAUAGCCCUUAUUGAUCUUUACCCUGUCUUUUCUUGCUCGCUUGAAAAAGAGAGAAACAGGUUCCCCCUCAAAGUCAGAAAAGUCAGAAUUGAAUCCCAAAGACUGGAACGCGAUGGAAGUAGAAAUGAAACUAUCAACUAUUGGUACGAAUGAAAAUCCCACGCUAGUACGAAGACUGAUACAAAAUAUUAUAAAUGGAAGGCAUUACUGCUGUAAGAGACUAGGCCUUUUUUCUGGCUUAUUCUAAGUAAUUACGCAAGGCCUUAUGAUUCACUUCCUAACAGGGCAUUUCCUCCACCACCCGUUAUUCCAGCAAGAGCUCCAAGGCAAACAACGGUUAUUUAAGUUAUUCCCACAGCAGAUGAAAUACCAGCGGAUAUGCCAUUCUCACCAGAGCCGUUGACACUGGACCGACAACUGCUGGAACUUUAGGCAUGCCAUAAAGGAUUUUAUUGAGACAAAGCAGUUCGUUCUACCUCCCGCGCCGGCCACAGCAGCUCAGCCAAACCUGAACAAAAACCCUCGUCCGGCUCAUCCUGCACAACUGGGUUAAGGUGGUGAAAAGUGACUCCGGCACAUUUGACUCCACUCAAUAUAUCAUGCCCAUCAACAGACCCACUGCAGCUGCACCGGCGAAGUCAACCCAGAAGAUUCAGUCAGGCGUUUUCAAUAUGAGUACACCCAACCCAUGGGAAAUCGGCCAGCCCUCAUCCUCUUGGGAUGCACCCUUUAUAACUGAGCGCUCUCUUCUCCACGCCCACCGCCAGCAGGGACUCUGGAAAGCUGCUCCGGAAAGGAAGAGCUUCGCGGCUUGGGACUAGCAGCUGCGGUGCCCUCGCUAGAGCUCGGGUUGGUGUCAGGUUUGAUGGAAUUUCAUGAGUAGAUGCAGGAAGGAAAGCAAUAGGAAUUGAAGACAUGAACAAGGGGAGAGGGAAAAGUACCUUCCUUAUAUGGUGCAGUCAUUGUUUUGGUAAGCUAAUGGAAAAAAAGCAAGCAGAGCUGAAGCGAUCUUGGUAUAGUGCAGAUCUUUCGCAUAACCACCCUCACUUUUCCCUUCCCUGAAAAGACCUUGGUCUCAAUAAAGUCAAUUGUAUCACUUCCAGUUUCUGGCCCCUCAUACGCUCCUAAGGAUUCUCCUAUAAAAAGCCUUUCACUUGGUCUCUUGAAAGAUGAUAAUAUCAGGUUUUGCUUUGAGGAGAAUGUCCUUUACAGAGCGUCUUUUCUUCACAUUACCCAACCCUCUGUCAUUCCAACUUAGAAUCUUCAUGAAACCUCAUUCUUCAACCCUGUUCUUGCCCCCUUUAGGUUCUUUUUACUGUAAGAUUUCGAAGCCCCUAAAGCUUCAUAGUUUAUGUCUGACUUCAAAUUCUUAAGCUCUCUGAUCCCUUUCUUGGUUCUGCUAGGAUUGAUAGUAGACUGUUUUUUAUCCCCAAGAAAUCCGAAAUCUGCACAAUUUUGCCUUAUUCAUCUCUGAAAGAUGACCCCAUCUUUUAAAUAAACUAAGCCCCACCUAUAAAGUCCCAUCCCCUUGAAUCGGGCGUCAAAGAUUCUAUUGAUGGUUGAAUCGUUCACUCCUCGGUAGAGCCAGAUAAAAGAGAAUGAAGAAGGGUAAUUCAUGAGAGAGGUUUUCGACUUCAUGUUAAGACAAAAAAAAAUUAGACUACUUGAUUGAAUUCGAGAAAAAAAGAAAAAAGGAAAGAAGAAGGGUAGUGAACAAGUUCCAUGGUGAGUUGCUUGGUGGGAAUGUUGGAGAAAGGAAUGAAUGGGAAAUGCAGCCACCGAGCUUUCAUUCUCGACCAGCGACCAAGGGACUGGGGAGGCCAACGAGUAGUGAAAUCUCAAAAAAGAAAGAAGUCGGACUGGGGCGCCUUCAUUCUCCCUCCCACCUACCAGUCAUCGACCCAAACCCCCUCACUUCGUAUCUUUCUGCCUAUUUCCUACAAGCUUUCCGACAACACGAGCGAGUGGAUUUUAUAAUGGACGCCCGGGUGCAGCGCUCUGACUUCAGUCUAUCAGUCUUUAUUGAAACCAGAGAUACCGGCUACCUUACCUCAUGGGAGAGAGCCCUUCAAAUAUCCCCUUAUUCAAACUCGCUCUUGGGGGGUUAGCUUCCCGUUGUUCUCCGGGCUAGACAGACCCUUUCUCUCACGAUGUGGGUUGACCGCACCGUCCCUGGGAUCCCAUGUCCAAAAGGCGGCUAUAGGAUGCUUUCGGGUCGGGUCUUAUUGUUUAGUCCUCAACCCUGUGUCAUUGUUGGGAAGUCGAAUGGGAAGGAGGGACCUCGGAGUCCACAAAUAGAGCGUCAGAUUCACCAAUAUUUCUCACUUUUUAUUGCUUUGAGAAGAAUGCCACGUAAGAGGGCCCCACAUCUAUGUAUGAGAUUGGUGGUUAUUGGACCAAGCUGCUCCCUAUCGGAAUCGACGGGGAGAAUACCUGCAAGACGAAUAUCUUGCUCGGUGUCGAAGCCCACAUAUUCCCCAACAUGUGGUGCGGACAAUCCAGGUCGACCCUCCGGAGCUGGAGCCACCGAACCAGCCGAGAACCCGAAGGAAGCAGAACUAGGACUCGCUCCUGAUCCCACGUGACCUGGUAAUUGGCUGCUGGAAAAGAACUUGAAUGCGACAACCAACGUUUUCACCUCAUGGCUCUCACUGAGGUUCGAACUUUUGCCUAAGGCAAAAGGGAAAGGGGGUCAAUGUGCAUGUCAUAUACGAUGGAAUGAGAUAGAUCGGGUGAUCACUCCCUUCCAUUCUAACCAAACCUGCCCCACCUGGCUACUCAAUACCAACCAUUAGGGGUGUCCCAAACUUCCCAAGGGGAUAGGAACGUACUGAAUCAACAGGCAGGCAGACAGGACUUUAGCGAACGAGCAAUCGAACAUUCCCGCUAAUCACUAUACUCCUCCUGCGAACCAUUGAUGAGCCAGCCGAGCUUGGAGAGGGUGCACGAGUGAGAGACAAGAGGGGUCUUCUUGUCUCUCCACUGUAUAGCACAAAGAAAGGGGUCUACUCUAUGGCGCUACGAGGUAAAUAAAUCCAUUCUAUGGGCAAAGAUCUAGCUGAAUUUGGAACAUUGGAUAUUGUCGGGACCCCGUCGUGGUAUCCGGAUCCUUAACCCUACGCCUCCUGCUGUCCCUGCCUCCAGGAACUCCUGCACCGUUCUGCGCCUUUUUGAAUGAAGCGCCUAGCUUUGACGCUUUCUUCUUACCCACGCGAGAUUGUUACCCAGGUGAGAGCUCCGCGUCCGUCUUGGACUGAGGUAUGUACCUAAGUCUUUCAAGGGAAUUGCCCGGGCCUAAUACACUUUUUUUUAAGUGCAAGUCCUGCCCUUAGAUGCCUAUCCCCUACAAACCUAAGCGGACUAAGGAGCCCACCUGAGCCUUGAAAGCAAGAACUGUACGAGCCGAACGGACGAAACAAGCGAGUCCUACUUUGACUGCCAUGCCUUUCUUGAUCAAUGGUGUUGGCAAGAAUCUCUUCGGAAAGAAAGGCGCUUUCUAGAUCUAAGCGAAUAUGAAUUCGACUUGACCGGCGGAAGUGUUCAAGGAGAAUGGAGCUCUACCUCCUUUCUGCUCCUUCUUCCACCCAAAAGAAAACGCUCAGCUCGGAAGGUUGUGCUGUCAAAAAGAAAAAAGAAAAUAGAAAGAAUUGAAUAAUAAGUAAUAAGAAGGCGCCUUAGCCUAUCUAUAGUAAGAGUAAGGAAAGAGGGCAAGCAGCCAGAUUGAAAUCGUCUGCUAUGGCAGAUGGACGUGAAAACCUCGUUGAUUGGGAGAAUCGAAUCCAUUUCACUUGCCAGGCCAGCUUCGACCUGGGAAGAGAGAAUCUCUUUCUGGAUGCCCCAUUGGUGUGGGAGUUGGUUUGCAGUCGCUCAUCCCAAACUUAUUGAGUGGAAAAAGAAAUAGAUAUUCCGUAUUGCGUGCUCUCUCUUUUUCUACCAAAAAAGUCUUGCUUGCCUUAAUAUAAUAAAAGGCUCUCCUUCUAUCUUCCUAGUUACUUAAUAACAACUAGCCUAGCCUCUCCCAUCUCCACUAUCUGUUCUGAAAAAGAUCAUCGAAGGGAUUACGUAGAUAGCUUACUUUCUUUCUAUUAGAUCGCUAUUGGUAGUGAGCUGCACAGCAGUAGAAACAGACUGAACUUCCAUUCCAUUCAAGUUUAAGAGGGAUUCAAAAAAAAAAAGACGGGCGCUUGAGAAAGAGAAUGCCCCCUGUAAAAAAAGCUAUCUUACCUUCAAUAACCUCCCCCGAAUUGGAGAAAUAGGGCUUCCCUCAGUUUAGUUUAAGAGAGACCUUUUUCUUUAAAGAAGACUGGCACGAGAUAGAACUGAAAGAGAGAAAGAAAAUAGGAGCGAUAGACACUUUUGACUUUUUCCGAGUCAAUCGUAGUGCUUCGUUCAUUCUACCUACCCUUUGCCUUGAAAGUCGCUUUGACUACAGAAGAAAGAUGAUAUCGAGGAUUCUUACCCCUUUCUACCACCUUUCGUACUGUUGAAGAAAAGAGGACUUUCUUCUAUUUUGCCGGAAUUUUGGAACCAUUUUGCACAGGCCCAGAAAAAGGGGGUGGCUAGCGAUGAACAUAGAGUUGCAUACGGAAUGACCCGGCAGCAGACCUAAUUCCUUUUCUUUUUUCUAAUGACCGAAAGUGCUCCGGGACCAGACGGUUGGGUCGGAAGAGCAAGCUUCUUCUUUUCAGGCUUCAAGUCUUCUUGUCUUUCUUUCGCUAUCCUUAGGUUAAGAAUACGAAUCCCAUUUCCUUGAAAGGAAGGUAUCCUCUACCCGACUUUCUUUGUUUUUAGUAAGGAAACUCAGUUUCUUUCCGAUUCUGUUAGUGAUUAGUGAUCCCGAAUCGAGCCUGAUGCCUAGCCGGGAUUAUUGCGUUGGAUUGAUCAGCGGAGUAGUAAACUCUUUUGACGGACGGAGUGCCUAUUUCACAUGGAAACGUGACCUGCUGUGCCGGUCGAGGCUCAAAACUGAGCGUUGUAGUCCACGGACUUUGACUCCGGGGAAGCUCAUUCAGUUAUGGAAUGCGUUAAGGGCUCUUAACUUAAGGAGGAGAGAUAGGUUUUAAGGCCUAGCUGGAAAGUCUCAAGGAGUUCCCAGCUCGGCCUACGCUACGAUCGUUAGAACUCCCUCCAAUCGGUUCAAAGCCGCAGAUCAAGGUUGUUGUGCUUUCUCUUUGUCCAGAAGACUAAGUAGUUGACGAGGUCUCAUUUCCUGACUACUAAAAGGCAACAAGCCUUGUUUGUUGCCAGUCUCGCAUAGCGAAGAAGGCACUUUUCUCAAAGAAUUUGAGGGCAAAAAACCAACCUGGUAAAGAGGGCAGAUGGGUGGGUCCUUUCUUUACGAUUAUUGACCCCAGCUGAGAAUAUGGAAAUAGAGUGGUAGCAGGCAAUGGUCUUCUUAAGAUCCCCACCUUAUUUCAAGAAAAAAAGAUUCUACCAACUAGAUUCUCUGGAAAUCGAAAUGACUUCCUUCGUGGAUCUCCGGAGGCUAAUAUUAGGUUUGGUAAAGAGUAACCCCAAGAUGGGCCUUUCAUGGUCUAUUCGAAAAGGUGACAAUAUUCCUUCUGACUGAGCAGCUAUUGGUUCCGGGUUGCAUUGAGUAGUGAGCAUCGAGAGGUCUUUGGUGAGGAGUGGCAAGGUAAGUAGUUAAAGCGGCUGUGCAGCCAGCGAAAGAACAACUCGGAAAGAGAAAACAAAGACAAGAACAACGAGGUCGAAGGGUUCAAUCCCAUCUACUCGAACUACUUCGCCUGAUCUUUCUCCCAAUCCUUAUUCCGUUGAGUAAGGGAAUAAAGCGCUUUCGAGUGACGUAUGAGGGAUUUUCUCAGCUGUUUUCUUGGCUUUUAAUGCAUGUUCUUCUAUCUUGAAUACAGAUUGUUCUCCUACUCGAGUGAAGGGUGGUACUGUCUUCUAAUUCAUAGCGAUUCUUUCCUCCAAACUAUCCCGCUAGUCAGUGGAUUGGAGACCAGUCUUCGGACAAGCAAGAGAGGAGAAGGGCACUCACCCUAUCCAUCCCAUCGAUCCGGAAAUACGAAGAUUCUCCUAUCACAAAGCUUCUGGGAGAGAAUAGAGUCAAGCUAGCUACCGUCUAGCCUCCAACACUCUUUCGCGUUAAGCGUACAUCUUUAGACUAAAAAGGACAGUUCCGCUUCUCUUUCGCCGUUAGAACACUCGCUGAUAGAACAGGAAGAAAAGAAGGAGCUGCUGCUCUUACAGAUGCUAUUUCAUCCGGUCCUAUGUUUGCAAUUGAAUUACCAACCGCUGGUACACUAACCGCAGCUAUUGAAGAAGCAGUUGGAGGAAGAACCGCUGCUAGAAAGGGAACUGAUUCCCUAGCCGCUGUUGGUGAAAUAAAAGCAGUUGGUCUUAUAUCAGAAAGCGCUCAACCUCUUUCUGGUGGUUCAGUCAGUUAAUCAAUAGUCGAAUCAAUGGCAUCGAAUGCCCUCCUUCUUCAACCAGUACCCGCCGUUGAUGCAAUAACCGGUCUUGUUGGAAUUGAAUCAGAAUAUGCCCAGAAGGAACUGUUUUCAGGACAUAGGUAAGAUACCCACGCACAGAAAGAGAAAGGACAGGAAUUUUCAUUUGCAAAGUCCCACAGCUGAUUCUCAAGCAGCUUGUAUUGGUAUACUAAGAAGAAUGGUGAUGCUUCCCCAAGUGAGUCACUAUUCGCUUUCGGCCCUGCUACUGCUGCUGAUUCUCACAUUUCUCACUUUGCGCAUUCUCUGCCAUCAAUCUUCUUCUGGUCAUGUCCUUCUCCUAGUGCAAGAAGUUACUUAACAAGCCCUUCUGUAACAGCUUAUUCUAGCGAUAGAACCUAUUUGAUGUCAAAAGAGAGAAGAGCUAAUUCAAUAGCAGCGGAGGGAUGCAGAUUCAAUGGAUCUUCUUUGCUCUGAUUCUAUUCUUGAUAACCUGAAACCAGGAAAGAGCCAACGGGGAGGAUGGAACUAUCAAGUGGACAUCUGAGAUGAGAAGUCGAAAGGGCUAAGAGGGGAUAAGCAUUCACCAACAAAGACCCACAGCUCUGACUUUGACAGCGCUUACGCAUGAAGUGACCUUUCUAAGAGCUACUUUCAUAAGGGGCAUGAGCUACUCUCUUCUAGCCUUUGCUUUGAAAGCAGUUCCCAGUCGAAGGUCAAAUGAACAAGAGCCAGGAGCUAGCCUUAUUCCGAAAACACCGAGUCUUGCUCCAAGAACUUCUUUUUAUGCGGAAUCCUACUAAGAUAAGUUACAUCAUUUCCUUUCCUAAAGCCCAUACUAAAGCAAAAGCACCAAGAGCGAGAAUGGAGCCAUUCUCUUCCCUACGAAGGAGAUCGGAGUUCUGUCAGUCUAGUCUGGGUCUGCUUUGCCAAUGCUUGAACUGAUUCACGCUCAAGCUGCUAGUCGAACCGAAGCAGAAGGGAGCAGCGGGAAGUUCAUACAAGGAGUCAAGGAGGUCAUCUGCUUUCAAUGCCUGCGUUAUUGUUAAAAAGAAAGAGUAAGUCAUGGAUAGACUAACCGGCUUAUGAAGAAGGAUUUACCUAGCUCAGGAAAAGAAAUCGGACAGCGAGCGCUAAGCCGGUUAAGUAAGAUAAGGACUUUGCCGGCAAGGAGAUUGAUAGAGGAAUCUGGCCGAAAGGAGAUCGAACAAGAAAGUCAUUCCUAGCCCGGUUGAAGCAAAGUCAGUCGGCUACUGCAGGGUAUGGAAAACUACCUUACAAAGCUGCUACUGCUACCUACCGGUCAGCGGAAAGAGUAGCUAGCCCACCCCAUUUCAUUUCCCAUCUCCUAGUAUUCUAUUCUUUUUCACCGAAAACCAUGAGUUCCGAGUCGCUAAGGCUAAGCGGUGAAAUAGUAGUUACGCCCUGGGAUAUGUCCUAAAAGAAAGAAAUUCCCUUUUGCCUUUGCGGGUACCUAAUAAGAUAAGAGGCGGUGCGGGAAAGCGAGGAGAGAUAGGUUCCCCUAGCCCAGAGCGAAUUCAAUUAGUUAGCGAACGGCCUGAAAACAAUGCCAUCGCCUCUUUCUUAUUUAAGUAAGCUUGUCCCCCAGCGAGUUAUCGGCUUUGAACUCUUCCAUCUACUCUUUCUGUUCCCUUUCCCUCACAGUUUGCAUUAUAUUCCACUUCAAAGGCUUGAAGUUCAGUUCCAAGUCAAUCGGAUCGGAUAUGACUCUCUGCUAUAGUAAGCCCGCCUAUUAUUCUUCCUUUUACGGCGAAGUCGUUACCUUAACCGCGCCUGUAACAUCCUUUUCUUUCUUUACUAUUGAUCAUUCAUGUCUUCUCUUUUCAUUUCCUUAUGUUGGAAUUCUCUUCUUCGGCAUUUCGCUAUGAGAGGACUUUUCACCCCCGGUCUUCUUCGGGGGAGGUAGAGUCAAGGGUGCGGGUGACGGGUCUAUCUGCUGUUCCUACUCCUAAACCGAGUCCUGGGGAAUCCUCCUAUACUUUUGACUUUAUUCGGGGAUAUCUUAACUAUUCCGCCUCAGCAACCGACGGAGAUGCUCUAGCUCUUUUAUACUCCUUGUUUACCUUCAGUUCAUAAAUUCAACAUUCAUGCCGAACGGCUUCUCUCUCGUGCUAUGGCUUUGUGCAUUUAGCUAGGAACGACUUCCCCGAACCCUUCCCCACCGACUUGCCCAGUUCUUCGAGAACAGCCAAUGAGUGCACAAGAGCUGAUAGGCCAAGACCCACAUGGAACCCAGGAAGCGGGGAUUCUAUCCUAUCUACAAUGCGUUUUCGGUACGCUUCGAUACAGAAUAAUCCUAACUUGCCUUGACUCCUGCCACCCGGCAAAGUGAACGAGAAAAGCGAACAGAGAGAAAGUCAAUGCACUCGAUACCUUGGGGACUCAUGAUCAUAAACGAUGAGACGGCGACGAAAGAGGAAGAAAGGAAAGAAAAAGGAUCGAGACAGGAACCUUACUCUCUUAUCAUAGGCGCCCUCAUGUCCUAUAGGAAGUGGAAGUAAGAAAUCCUAUCCAUCUUGCCAAAAACCUUUGCACGAGUAAGAAAGCAGUCUACUUAUGGCAUCGGAACCACUAAUGCCGCAUCUCUCGAUGAGAAGGAAUCCAGGAAAGAAGAGAAAAGAAAAGCCCUUCUUCCCGGACAGUAUCUAUAGAUGAAUGGCACAGAAAGCCAGUUAGUUUUCUCUUACGAGACUAUCAGCUACUUCUGUCCGGCUUUCAGAACCCACUUCGUUACGAGCCCAGAUGCUAGUCUCAUCUCCAGGCACUUGACAUCCUGGCUUCAUUGGUAACGUCCUUUCAACUAUCGAACUAGCUAAGAAAAAGGGGGAACAAGUUCCGUCGCUAUCCCAAUCCCUCUCACUUCUUCCUUGAACGCUAACUCGCUAGCGCUAAGACUGAAACUCUUGCCUUUCACUCACUUUCUUACUUCAUUGCCUAAGGACCCAAUAAUCUAUGAAUUAACUAUUGUAGUAGGGGAAAUAUUAAGACUCGCUGGAACUAUACAUUUUAAGCGAGGAAAGAGGAGAUUCAGGCUCCUACGAAAACCAAUUCCUUGAACGCUAACUCGCUAGCUAUUUCUAUAUCAAGGAGAGUUUUCUUGACUCUAUAGCUCUCAAACUCGUUUCGUGAGCCCGCUAUCUAACAUCUACGUCUCGUGACUUCUUUCCUCCACUUCACAGUGAAGCGUCUUUUCUAAAUCCUAUCGAUGGCACAGCUAAGGAAAAAGCUUCAGGCAGAAAGGACCUGCUUCCUUCUCCCCUGACUGCUACCUCCUUCUUCCCCGGAAGAAUUCGCUUUCCUAUCCCUUCCCGAUACCUGCAUAAUCCAUUAGUCACUUUCCUCUCUCACUAUGCUUUAUGCUUACGAGCUGUAAGAGGCAGGAGCUAUUCUUAGGAAGGAAGAAAGCAACUACGAAUAUUCCUUAUUCAGGGUGGAAAUGAACAUAUUCCAACCUCUUUAGCGGAUGUGGCACUUUAUUUAAGCUUUCUAGCUAGUCCUUCCUCUCCUUCCUUUCCUUACUGAACUGCUCACCGGAACUACUUUUCCUUCACUUAGAAAGCGAGACAACAAAGCAUUUCUUCUUCAAAGCUUGGAUUGAUGAAUUCCAAUGGGAUAAACAGCACGGGCAACUCUUUUUCUUCUCUUAUCCAACAAUUGGCCUGGAAUGCUCAUAACUACCAUAUAUGGUUGGAGAAGGUGUCAAAAGAUUGCCUGCUGCCACUUAGUCAUUCAGCUUGUGUGGAGGGGAAGAAGUAAGCAAGUGUAGCGUAUAGUCUCUUAUAAGGUCUUUAAUGGCUCUUCGCUGCUGCUUUCCCUUUGAGUGUAAUGAAGGCCCCGAACUUACUAGCCGCUGCGCCCCUUGCCUUUUGAACCAGACCCGAGCCCUAGAGUAGAGCUUUGCCUGAGCUGAGAAUUUUGCCUUUAGCCUUUGGCACCUCUGCCUGGAUCAAUCUCGUCUGGAGCAAGCAACUCUGUCUGCUCUAAACCAACUAGAUCUAUUGAUUCCUCCGCUGGACUAACUGCUUCCUCUGCUUUUUGUACCCCUGCGACUUGGGAAAGAGACCAGCGCACUUGACCACUGCGAUCGAUCCGAUAAACCAAAGCAUCCUGGCCGGAGGCCAACCGACCAACCAUUGAGAAUGGAACAAAUAGGGGAGAUGGAAUUCUUCUCUCUUGUAUUUCAACCCCUCGGCUUCGCCUUCUACCUUAUUAAGCUUUGGACUUCCACCUUCAGCUAAGCACCUAACCCAUGGGACGGGACCUACCUUCUCUUUUGUUUGUAAUUGGACUUGCCCCUCUGGUCUGGUAUUUGUAUCCUGCUUCCUCCUUCCAUUCCCCUUCCGCUGGCUCUGCUAUUUACUAGAAUCCCAAUAAUCCCUGAGAGACUGUAACCGAACGAACCCCGAAAACUUGGUCUCGUGAGCUUCUACUUCCUUUCGUCCGAGGCAAGAUUGGAACUUUCUGCCCCAUCUCUCUCCUGAAUAGGGUUUUCUUUGUCCCGAGUUAGAAUAGUUAAAGCAUUAAGAUUGUCUUACUGUGAUAUUUAUAGGAUCUUAAUUUAUAACAAGAAAGAAAGAAAGAUCUAUCCCAAAGCGAAAUCCAUUAUCCAUUCUUUUGAAUAGCUAUUAAACCAGGAAAUCCGCAUCCUUUCUUAGGAUUAGGAGAGAGCUUAAAGAUAAUAGAGUCAAAGCCAUCGCCUUUUAAACUUCCACUUUUUUGGUAGUGGCAGCGCCCUAAACUCGCUAACUAGCACUUCCAAGUCGAAAUAGAAAAAUAAGAUAUCAUACACUCUUGGAAAAGGAGAUUAUUAAACGGAACCCACACCCGAGAGAGAAAUUUGAUUAGAUAACUAAUUCGUUCUGCUAUACCAAAGAUUCAUUCAUAUGCUUCUUCUUCAGGUGCUUACUUUUUAGUGGGAGCUCUGUAGUUGUGUUUUGUGUGAUUAGAGAUGCCCAUGCAAUAUAGAAGAAAAAAGCCACUACUGUGAUGUGCCCUACCGCUAUGUCCUCGCUAUGGAAGGGAGACCUCCUGUGCUAUGACAUAUAGACAACUCAUUAAUAUGGGAUCUCUUUCUCAAUCAAAUCCCGUCAUCUUCACUUCAAUCUUCAAAGAAUGCAAUUGCUACUUAACUUAAUAAAANNNNNNNNNNNNNNNNNNNNGUGGAACUGCUAUCUCUGCUAGAACUUCCAGUGAAAAGCACUUCAACUCUAACCGGCUUGCUUGCCUUUUAACUUAAAAUGAAAUAGGAUAUCCCAGGAAAUGGCUCGCUUGGCACGACAGCAAAGCAAAGUCUUCUCUCGUCUGGAACUAGUUUUCCUCACAGGACUUGGCCUCAGUCUCUUUAUCUUGUCUAAUGGAUUGAUAUACCCCUUGCAUGCUCUUCUUUUUUCUGUGGCAACAUUUCAUUCUGCCGGCCCACAUCCCCAUCCCGAAUGAAAUUCUCCUUUUUUUUUAUACUGCUACUAUAAACGAAAACUGACAUUUCAAAUUUCAAGGGCUUAUAACUUACAAUGAAAAUUGAUAUGCCUAACUGGAGUGGAGCAAAAAAGUACAAGAAUUGAUUGACCUUACCAGCUGGCUAGAGAGGAACUCCAAUUCAAAUAGGCUACGCUGUAAACAUGGCACAGGCUUGAAAGGUACUUAAAGUCUAAGAAUUCCCACUGGUUGUCUUGCCUUUGACUGAUGGCUUGAGAUGGAAAGACUCCUCCAAGGGCCUAGGCCUAGACAUAUAUCAACCACUAAAAAGGUGACUUCCAAUGGCUCACAUGUACCGCCAAAACUCAAAGAGCCGGGACUGCAACCCUGAAGACAGCCUUUGACUUAGCAGGCUUGAAAUCCUUUACUAUAUGCCCUUCGCUUGACCGCUUCGCCCCUAUUUAGUUUAGCUAUUGGGAAUGAGAAGCUCUCUUUCUUCCCAGCUUGGUACUUCGAUAGAGGCAUUUCUUCACUCCUGGUCCUUAUAAUAGCAGCAUUGGGCAUCCCAUUCCCUCAGUAGUAUGAGGUCAGGUCAGGGCUUUGGGCAAGCUAGCUAGUCAGUGAGCAAAUCAAGUAAGGCACUCUCUUCUCUGUCCUUAGCUGUCAUGUCCGCAGUGAAUGAACACUUUUGAAUAGAAGGCCAAGUGAUCGCGAACUCCGUGUCUAAGGAAGAGCCUUGAUAAAGAGCAAGACCCAGGGCAUGGAGAGCUAAAUGGCAAGAAGCAAGAAGAUUCUUUUCGCCACAUUCAAGCUUAAGAAAGAAAGUCAAGAUUGUAUUCUUUCUAGGCCCCAAUAGACCGAAAUGGGGCAUUCCGCCCAUCGUUGAGUCUAUUCUAGAAAACCAAGGAAAGCAGCUUAUUUGUCCUAACAAGGGGUUCCCCUAACUUCCAAGAGGGCAUUCAUUCGUGAAACCUGUUUUGGCAUAUGCCUCUUCCUUGCUUGGACUAGCUUAGCGAAAGGGAAUACUGCCUUUAACAGCUGCCUAUUCUAUCGCGGAGUGAAGUCAAGAGAUGAGGCUUCAACUAGACAGAUCGACGAGAUUACUUGCUAAAGGAAUGCCGGGGGGCAUAGCAAAGGUAGGACUCGUUUUGAUUUCAUUUCGAAAAGAGCAAGAUGCUUUAGAGUCGGAAAUCAGUUCGGACAUAAUCCUCUUCUCUAGAGGAUUCUAAACCUUCCCCAGCUUGAAGAGGCACUAUUGGCUUUCAUUUCAGUAAAGAAGAAGGGCUUAGAGCCUUUAAUGUCCAUUUAGCCUUUAAUAAGGGCUUUCCCUUAGCGAGUGCUAUCGUAUAAUAAGCCCAGAGUAGGCUGCCGAAGCUAUUGACUCCGCUGUGGAUGGGAUUAAGGCAUGGGAUUCAUACCCAGGCUAAGGCUAAGCUAAGGAUUCGGCAGGCGAGACAGAUAUUUCAUUAAGAGAGAACUCAUCUGAUUCAGAUAAGGAAAGAACGGACUGACUAUUAGUCACAGCCGGGGCGUUUUCGAGUUGCAUAUAGUAUAGUAUACUUUCGGGUUUUGGAUGUUAUAACUGAUUUAGUGGGAUAGAAUGGUAUUAGCAGUAGCAUUAGUCUUAGUGAGUGCCAUUGGUUCCGAUUCUCCGCAUCUUUGGUUAAGAAAGAAUGGGACUCUAUGUCUUACGUGAUUACUCCGAUUAAACCAUGUGGAAGAUCUUGGCGUCUUGAUGCAUCGAAUCCGCUGCUGGUGGUGAAAGAAAUGAAUCAGAAGCAUCGAAUGCCCUCUUUUUUGGGAAAGAAGCAAGAGAAUAACUAUAAGGUUCGGAAUCGAAUCCGCUCAAGUUGAAGAAGUUUUGAAAAAAGAAGAAGCUCUUGCCACUGUCGGUCUAAGCGCAGUUGGAGGAAGGGGAGAAGGGAAUGCUAGAGCUGACAAGCGAAUACCUGCUUCCCGUGGCGAGCAUAAACCUUUGGCUCGUUGGUUCAUACUAAAUCUGACUUCUUCCGGUUCGACUUGAUGAACAACAGCAACCGGUCCAUUACCGUAGUCCCUGACCUUUGAAAGCCAAGUGCCCUCCUCCGUUCACUAACUUCCUCUCCUCUAAUAGGAACAGCAGCUGGUUUUGGAACAAAGUAAUGCUAAUUGAGCGAGCCCAGCGCAUAGACGAGCCUGGGGGUGGUUUUUUCUCGCCACUGAAUAAACCCUUCAAUUGAGCUUUAUUUCGUACUUCCCGGUUGGUUAAAAAGUAUGUUCAUCGGUAAGGACUGGAGUGGACAAUAUGAAUUCCCUUCUUUUGCACAAGGGGAACGAUCAAUGACUGGAGUAGAGCGAAAGCCACUCGACCGUAGGGAACUUUUGUAGUGAACGAAGGGAGAGGAGCGAAGAAGAAUGAAUAAAUGUAGUCUGGUCUCGCCAGGCAAUUACAUCCUUCUCCCAGGAAUAUUUUGAUCCCCUGGGGUUAGCGCCUUUGACCUCUUUUUGCCUAUCUUCGUUCUUCAAUUCAAUAAAGAAAAGAUCUUUUUUUCUUUAAAUAAUUAUGUUAUUUAGUGAGUGAAAUUGAGUUGAAUAUCGAUCCAAGUAACCCAAUUGAUUAUGAUUGCUAUAUUCCUAUUUCAAUCCUUAGAAGGUCCUCAAUUAAUGAGAACUGCUCUUACGAACCUUUAUUAAUUUAAGCUGUUGGAGUCAGUGCUACCUUCUAUUCCAGAUUGCGCUACAUCUUGACCUUGACAUAGAAGCACUAAUUACGGUUAAGCCCACUAUACAUACCACCAGAUAUUAAGAAGAAGAGGCUACUAGAGAAACUGAUGGAAUAAGAGCUACAACGCUAAAGAGAGAAUCUCUCAUGGCCAGAGUCGUGAAUAGAAUAAAGGACGUUAAGCCUGGAUUCGAUUCAUUAAGCAGGAAAGACAUAAUUAGAUACUUCGAAAGACCUAUUUUCAGUCAUACUAGGUAUUAGAAAAAAACCUGAGCAGAAAGAAUAGGACGCAAAAGCCGGAAAGGGCAUUACUACACCGGCGGGUCGAUUGCACUUGGACCUAAAAUUCACAUGCACUCAUUAGAGUGAGAAAACUACUGAUAACCCUGUGUGUGAAAGCCCAAGAGGCAUAAUUCAUAGAUUAAAAAAGAAAAAUAUAUAUAAAUAAAACAAGAAAGAAGGGAUGAUUUCUUUUAGGGUUCAAAUGUACCAUUGCGCCCAAUACACCUAUGAGGCCCAUUAGACCAGUUGGACUAAAUGUAUAGAGUGAUGUGGAUAGACUCCAUAAGAAAAAGAAAUUCUGUUCUGUAGUGUAGUGCAUAAUGGAAGUUCCUCGUCCUGGUAUAUCUCUAAUCAUUGAUAUUGAGGAAGAGAAAGAAACUCCAUUUUAUUUAAAGCAAAGCCUUCUUAUCUUACUUAGCCAACUUCCAGCGGGAAUAAGAGCGAAGUCUCGCCUAUCCUAUCAAAGAAUUCCUAUUUCAUAAGGUCUCUCGAGCCUCGCUAUUCAAAUUCUUUCAUCGCAAGGAAAGAUCUAUCAGCACAGGCCAGAGUCCGUAGAGUCGCUUGAGAGGAGUUUUAUUCAGAAGAACAAAUAUUGGACCAGAGGUGGGUACUGGUAGAAAACGAAAAUGAAAGUCAAGUCAAGCUACUCAAACAAACUGUAAUAGAGAACUUCCAGACAAAGAGAUACAAGUUGCAAUUACAUUACAAUGUGAUAUUGCUAAAGGGACCUGACCGUAAAAGCUUUAGGAAGGACUUCUCUUAGCAAGAUCUCUGAAACCCACUCACAUAGGUGGUACGGCACUCCACGGCAAUUGAUCUAUUUUGAAGAACAUUUCGGUGACCCCCUAUUUGAAUAAAAAACUAUUUCAAAAAGCACUAUCCCAAAGAAAAGGAAGAAAAAUAUAGUGAAGUUUCUUCCUUUGGUGUAUCAUCGGACGUGUAGGUCAGGGCCCUCGAAGCGUUCAAAGCCAAAAUGUGUAUGAUAAAUCAUAUGCGAUCCUCGCCGGUCUCACAUAUAUCGUUAUUGCAAAGCAAAUGUAUUUCUGAAUGAAACUGUUGUUGUUGUAGAAAAUGCUAUUCCUUAUUCCUGGCAAGGUUGGGGGCUUGAUGCGCCCCUUUCAUUUCGUAUAAAUGAGGGGCAAUUUACUGUUUAGUGGAAAUAUAUGUUAUAAUGUGAAUAGAUUCCCUUGGUUGAUCUAUCGUAUAUAAGAGAGAGGUUGCUUUUAGGAGUGAUUUUUCCCUCUAACUAUCCAUUUCUUAAGAGAAGUUCGAUCGGAUUGUAGAAAAAUGAAAGGUAUGGUAGACUGCCACAGGACCGAGUUAUGGCUUCCUUUUCUUUUCACUAGCACCGAUCUCUUAAUUAAUUUCAUUUUCAUUAAUAAUGGAAAGAAGCAUAUGGUUAGGAAGAAGAUAGCGCGGCGACAUCCGAAAAAGAAAGAGUUUGAUCAUACCUGCUGCUUCCAUGCGAAUGAAUUGAAUUUCAUAAAGACUAGAGAGAACCGAGCGGCUAAUAAAAAAGAAUUGCGUUCUAUUCAAUUGAAUUCCCUUGCCUUGCUGUUGACUAGAAAAUAGAAAAGGCUCCCCAUUCUAAGGGUAGGCCGGGUUAAGCCUGUCUAGCAAAGCCAAGCGCUGCUCAUAGUCUUGACUGGGCGAGAACUGCUCUGUAAGAGGUAAGACGAGGUAGGUGUGCUGUCGUUCUGGGUUGGUGCCUUGAGCUAGUCUUCGUACUAUCUACCUACCAACGAUGAGACAAAGAAAGAUACCUACUUUUUCAAUCAUUUUAGCUUGGAGAAGGGGCAGACUUCCUUUUUUCGUUCUUCGGUACAGCAGGAGGAUGCUCCCGGUUCUUAUCAUAAAGAGGGGGGACCACAUCUAGUUUCGAAGUCGAUAGGGCUCGUUUCUUCUCCCUUGCCCUAGAACCUGAUAUCUCCAGAAAGAAUGCUAGCUUCGGUCGGGUCAUCUAUACCGACUCGCUUGCCGGGAUGGACUUUAUCCCCUUUUUGAAAUGAAAAUGAAUAUUCUUUUGAUACCCCAAAAAUGGGUUCAUUAGGGCGAAUCCUUUAAUCCAUUGCAUGGAAUGUCAUGAUAGAAAAUAGAAAAUAGUAUCUGUGAGGAAGGAUCUAAUUGCCCCCAGGCUUAAUGGAGAGACGGGAAUCAGCAACUCGGUAUGAGUAUUAUGCCCGAUACUUGGCCUUAAAAUAAAUAGUUGAAAUCUGUAGAGCUAGGACCGCGCCAGCUUAUAGAAUGGUCUGUCUUCUCCGCUCGUUGUUAAGCCAACCCCCCUUCUGCUCUGGAAGUCGAUUUUUGUCCCAUAGAGCUGAAAAAGAUGGCUUUUUCUCCGGCAAUCUUGAAUUUGAAUGAAAUCUCUUGACUUCAGCUGUUGUCCGCUGCACCUUCUUUUUUUUUGUAGCGGUGGAGUGGAUAUGAAUUAUCGCUUCUUAGUGUUCAGCCUAGCUCGUGGUGUGAACUUCCCUUUCUUUAAGGAAUUGGGCUUAAACCCAUCCAUAUCCCCCCAGAGCUUGCCUGUGUGAGUGCAUCUUGUGCUUUGUCCUCUUUGUUUUGUGUUGGCAUUGCCUGUUUUAAGAUAGACGCUCUUGGAGCUGAUAUCGCUUUGUAGCUAGAGAGAUUCUAACUCCUACUUUCUCAAUCUCAGGUAAAACUUAUUUUGUUAAGUGAAAAAGUGCUGAAGCUUCAAAGUUUUAAGUUAAGCUAAUUGAUUACAGAAAUGACAUCACCAACGUUCUUCAAUCUUUGUCAGCGAACCACAGUUUAUGGUUUUGCUUGCAAUAAAUAAAGAUGCGAUACCCGCACAGGGGCUUUUCAAAUUUCAUCAAAGAAAUGAUGGCCUUUCCUUGCUUCAAACGGAAAGGAAGGACCACACCCAGGAUUUACCAAGAGGUCGACUCUUUCCUACUUCCGCAAAGAAAAGAGUAGAAUAAGAGCAUCUGGAUUGGAUCCACUGACUCCACUGGCGGAGGUCCUUCUGUGACCAAAGAAAGCAGCCCUACUGAAUAUUUCGAAUACGGCGUUGGUGCUCGAGAAAGUCAAUUGACGUUGAGUUUGAUCGCUUUUACUUGACUUUCUAGGCCCAUAAGACUAAUGUUUAUGGUUAUGUCAAAGAGUGGUCCAUAACAUGCAUGGGAAGAGAAUGUAGGUAGCUAAGCUUUUGCUUUGUUGAGUUCUGGUAUCGAACGAGCUUAAGCCUUUCCCAAGGCAAAGUGAAAUAGGGAAUAAAUUGCAUAUGAAUAUCUUAUGCAAUCCCGCGCUGACCAUGUCAGUCUAUCUAAGCUGGGUUAAGAACAUGCUUCCUUUUUCAAGUGCUCGAAGCUAAGAAGCUAAAGACACUAAGACAGUGGAAACUGGAGAAGAUAAAAGAAUCUUAUCUUGUUUGGUCUCCAAAUGCUAGUGUUAGUGCUGCUUAAGAAGCUAUUGGUCUUUUAUGGCAACUCUAGCCCAUUAGCUCAUCAACUACCAGUAUUGAAGCGGUUGGAGUACUAUGACUAGCUGCUGGCAUGUCACCCUGAUCCGAGGAAGGAGUCACCAAUUCCGUUGCACAUGGGAUUGGAAUACUUGACUUGCUUUCAAAGCCUAGAAAGGCUAACUCUUAACUAGGCUAGCGCAGGGGGGUGUUCUCAAACGGCGAAGCCUUAAGGCAAUAGUCGAAAAGUGACCGAAGGGUUGAUUUCGAAAAGAUGAACAUAAGUUUUAUAACUAAAGCGAAAAUUAUUAGAUGGGGUUGAAAGCGAUGUGAUCUUAGCUUAGAGCUCUAGAUUGAGUCCCAUACCUAGAAAGGCGGUUCUGUGCCACAGUUCAGUGCCCCGAGGCUAGGUCUCAAUCAAUAUAAAUCAAAGCCAUCACUCUUAGCGCUCUUUCUUCAGUUGCGUACUCUUUUGCCUAGUCUAAAGCUAGUUCAGCGAGGGUACGACUAAGCUCUUUGAAAGCUUUCACCUCGACUAGAAGAAAGAAGCCUAGAAGCAAGCACAGGAAAGCAAGGGCCUGAUUUACCUCAGAGUCCGGCUUAAUGGACGAGUCCGGAAAGCAACAGGAUAAAUGGAAAAACAAGGGACGGGAACAAACCUAGCACCAAACCAGUUAGACACAAGAAAGAUGCUAGUGGGAAUGAAGGAGACGACUCUCGUCCAAUGAUUUUCGCCGAACCGGCAUCAAGUACACAUUACUUAAUCUAUUUGAAGAUGAGAUUGAGUCUCCCUUUCGAUGAGGGCAAAGAACGUAAAGCAACCCGCCCAUAGUCAGAAGGAAAGAUAGGGGCGGUACCAUCCCAUUCAAGGGAAGUAAGGAAGCAGGUAGGGAAGACUUUAGAAGAAAAGAUCAACCAGCCGUAUCGAUUCUUCCAAUAGCUGGACUUUGAUAAAGAAAGGAACUGAUUGACCUAACCGAGGAAGUGAAGUCAGAAGCGGAUCGCAACUCGGCUAGAAUAUCAGGAGAUGAGUGUUACACCACUUCAUUUCAAAGGUUACGGAGCUGAAAGGGCACGAAAGAAAGGCAAAAAGUGACCAGUAGAGAAGACAAGAACUCUACCUCCAGCUUAGAACAUUGACAUCGAAGAAAAGGUCAAUUAGCUGAGGAUGCACCUUUCCUAUCAGGUUGGGAGGAAUGGGCAGUAAGAAUAGAGGGAUUUUUCCCACCCAGCCUUGAUUGUGAAAGAAAAAGAAUGACGAGCUCUCACGGGCAGAGACCGGGGUGUGACCUAGCGACCGAGCUUAGCAGUCAAAAAAGAAGGAAAUUCCCAAAUCCAUCAUUUUCAGGUCAGAGAUAGGACGGACUUCUGUCAGGGAGUGGAACGGAGUCCGGGAGAGGAGGAGUCCUUGUCAUAGGAGGUUGUUUUAAUCAGAGACGGAACUAGCCCCAUUGAGUGGGGAGAGCAUUCUCUUUAUCGAUUCUCUUAUUGACGCAAUUUGAAGAUAAGGAAUUCCUGAUCCGACAAUCUACUCAGCCGAUGUUCAUUGUCCGGUUACCUGUGAUGAAUAGGACCUUAGAUGAGUCUCGUAACUCUUUGCCAUGAAUAGUGAGUUUUUUCUCCUCCCCUAUCCUACCUAGUCGGAAAUCUGAUUCCUCAGAAAGGAGAUCAUGUACGACCUCUUAUGAAUCUUCAUCUUCGUGUCUCCCGAAUCAAUGAAUGCAGCCGACGAUACGAUAUCAUAGAGAAAGCUCCGGGUAAGCUCAUCUCUUCGAACCUUGCGAUCUAUCACUAUAACUAUAUAAGGAUCUGAUUUCAGGAAGUCGAAAGGACGGAAGUCAAGUCCAAUCCGACAAUCUAUACUGUUGUGGCUAAGUGUUCUGGCUAAGCGAAGUCUAUUGGCAGCCCUGUGACACUCUACUGUCUGGUUCUGGUCUUGACCACAGCUACGGCUAGUAGGAAAGGGAAGCGGAAAGAGGCAAGCUCAACAAGCAAUCAAGAAGCAAGCACUAGAACGAAACCUGUUCUUACCACUUUUCAUAAUAUGGCUGUGAUCUGUCAUUACGUUCGACUAUCUCCACUAUAGAAAGAAAAAAAGGAAAGAAAGAGUAAAUCUGUCACCUUCUUUAUUAAUUUUCAGCACAUUUUUACGAAAAAGUCUUUCUUAAUUAUUAUAUUAGCAUAAGUAGUAAACAUUUUACACUAGGGUUUUUCCCAUACAUGCAAACAUAACAAAUAAAACCAAACAAAGAUAGUUAGCAUAGAUAGGAGUCUAUCUCCAGUAAGCAUCGGAGUAGAUCCCCACUAAAAAAAGACAAAGAACACCAUACAUUAAAACACACUACUUUGCGUCUACAGACACUUAUUUAAACCUUCUAAAACUAAAAAGAGUCGACGGACUAUUUUAGUUGUCAUUUUGACCAAGGCAGAUUGCCUCCACGAUCAGUGCCUGCUGUUCCUGGCGUAGUCCCUGGAGUCUUUCUUGUAGUUCCCGAAUUCUUUGACGGCUUGCUUCCAUUCGGGCUUCAAUAGCAGCCGGGUUCACGGAGCGAAGAUGCCUCCACAAACCAUUUAACAUUCGUCGAGUAUUUCGAAUCUCAUUUUCUACAUUUUGUACUUCUUCGUUAAUUUCAGCAAGUCGCUGGGGAAUGGCGUUAAUUUGAGCAAGGAGGGCCAUGGCUUCUCGAUAAACACUGGUAGAAAAACUCUUUGAUGUUUUUGUAGAGCACAAAAGCUUAUCGAGCCUCUAUUUAUAGAGUGUAGAGAAAUCCUGCAGUACGAACGAAUUGCAUGGCUGGCACACACAAUCUGAGUGAGUACUAUCACCACGCUGCCUGUAUGAAAAAACAAACUUUGCAGAACCGUUUCACCUAAUCGAUCGUGGUGAAGUCAGCAAUGGAUUCGGCGGAUCAUCCACGUCACGCUAGGAUUUGGGAAGGACAUUCACGAGAGUGAGUUGGAAGAGAAAGACGGGGGUGGAUUUUGGUGCUCUAACUGGCUGUGAGCAUGAGAAUUGCGUUGCCGAGCAGAGGGCAGAGAGGAAUUCGUGCAGGAGGUUUGGUAGGCAUAAUAGGAGUGAUGUUGUCUUGAGGGGCUGCGUGGAGGCAGUUAUGCUGAUGUCAGCUGAUGUACGGAGGCACGUGUUGGCCAUAGUACUAGUCCUAGGUUGUAAAUAGAAAUGAAUGGAUGGACGACCUGAUGCCCCGUGUCCUAGUUAGUUGGCAGAGGAAGAUUCGAACUACCUAGUAGGCUUCCGUGGUCGGCUCCCCGGAUUUGAAAGUUCAGCCCUACCACCCUAUACUAGAGUAUAGUAUUUUCUUCCUAUCUAAGCUAUAUCAACAAGGCCUCAAACUCAUCCGCUUGUAAAUUCUUGGUGUAAUACUCACUCGUAAAUGAAAAAAUGAUUGGUGUAAGAAUUUUUCACUGAUCAGGUGUGAUCAGUCUCAUCCGUGUAAGAAUUUGGAAUUCCUCUUCCAACCCGUCCCGGAAUGGGCGUUAUGGCAAAGAACAAGAAGAAAAAGAAAGAAGGAAUUUGUCCAAUAGUCACAAAUGGUGCCUCCACAGGUUGACAUCCGAUCCAACCUAGUAGUAAGCGAUCCGCCAAAAGCAACCAAAAUAUUCCUUGGUGAAUCGGGCGAAAACUUGAACUACGCACAUACAUACUUUUAAAAAAAGGUAAAGCCAAGAGAGAUAUAAAAACAGGUGCUAUUGCGGCUACACCUCCCGAUUUGUCAGGUAUACUGCGAAGAAUGGCAUGGAUCGGUAGGAAAUACCAUUCCGGCACAAUAUGAGGCGGGGUGGGCAUCGGAUUAGCAGGUAUAUAAUUGUCGGGAUGCCCCAAAACAUUAGGAGCAUAAAAAAUCCAAAUGGAAGAAAAGAUAGCAGAAGCUACCCGACCUACUAGAUCCUUUACAUAAAAAUAAGGGUAAGAAGCAAUUUUAUCCAUCUCUGAAUGUACACCCAAUGGAUUAUUUGAUCCAUAUUGAUGCAAUGCGGCCAGAUGAAGAAGACUGGCGCCUACUAAAAUAAGGGGGAGUAAAUGAUGGAGACUAAAAAAACGAUUUAAGGUGGCAUUGUCCACGGAGAAACCACCCCAAAGCCAAGUCACUAUGGUAUCUCCUACUACAGGUAUGGCGCUAGCUAAGCUUGUAAUUACUGUAGCUCCCCAAAAGCUCAUCUGACCCCAAGGUGGUACGUAUCCUAUAAAAGCUGUCACAAUCAUUAAUAGGAAUAUGACAACUCCGAGACACCGAACAAAUUCCCUAGGACUGCUAUAACUCGCAUGAUAUAGACCACGAAAAAUAUGAAGGUGAACCACAAUGAGAAACAUACUUGCCCCAUUAGCAUGCAUAUAACGGAGCAACCAGCCCCCUUCAACAUCUCUCAUAACGUGUUCUACGCUGUUGAAAGCUAGAUCCACAUGAGGUGUGUGAUGCAUAGCUAAAAAAACGCCAGUCACUAUCUGAAUGACUAAACAAAUACCAGCUAACGGACCGAACCCCCACCAAUAACUAAGAUUGCUCGGGGUUGGAUAAUCUAUCAAAUGCUGGUUAAGUGUGGAGGAUAUCGGUUCUUUAAGAAGAGAGAAUCGUUGGUUCCUUAUAGUCAUUUCUCUUUUCUAUCGUGACAACUCCUCUUCCCCCUUAUUUACCCCCUUGCCUUGAUGGAAAUUGGCUUCGCAGCGCCCUGAAUAAUCAAAAAGCUGCAUGAGAAGAUUCAUCCCAUUUUAGCGAGAGGGAGGCAGUGAAUCACCUGGGCUACGGAUUUUUCGGUUUAUUGAUUCUCAAAAGAACGUCAUUCGGAAAAAAAAACUGCCGGUUUCUUAAGGCUUCAAACGAAGGACUAGUCAUUAAGAAACCUAUGAAAGAUAAGUAAGGAACUCCUUUCAUGAAGAAGUUUUGCCUGCGUGCAAACUACCUACCCCUUUUCAAAAGAAGGUCGAUUUCAAUCUCAACAAAGAAAGAACUAAAAUGAAAGCAACAUUGCUUGUUGUCCUAUUACUCUUUCUUUUUGCCUGCCUUGUGGAGCUUUGGAAAGGAGAGAAUUUUCAGUGUUGAAAGUCACUCUCGGAAACUCUUAUUGGACGAGAGAGAGUCAAUAUGAUAUUGGCGUUGGUUCUACCAACGAAACGAAGCACUUUUUGGUCUUUUUCAUUCGGAACCCUAUUAGUAAGUAUUAGUAAGCGGGCCCACACCCAGACUCUGACUUCAAUGGUGGGAACAACCUCAGCACUCCGGCGUGAACAUGAACAAGAGUUCUCUAAAAAAAUAUAUUAUAAUAGUGGUCGAUCCCUCGGGAGUGACAUUCGUAACUUUAGAUGUUGUUCACGCGGUGAUCUUCUAUCUUUCCAAGAGUACUACCCUGUAGUCUAUGUCUGGGGAGACAGGUGCGGUAGAGAGGUCCCCCACUUCGAUUCCCGUCUCGUUAGCAUCUCCGAUCCGAGAGUUGGGAUGACUCCGUUAGGUCUUUUCGGUCCGGAGCCGGACGGUAAUGGACCUACAACCCUUGCUUGUGGACCAGCUGCAGAGCUAACCUUUGUUCUAUUGGUUUGGUGGUUGCUACCAAGACGAUUUCUUUAUGCCCAUCAAAGGACCUCGAGAUGCUAAUCCACGAAAAACGAUACGAGAAAUGCGAAAGAACUCAACUACGGAACGAGGGCGACCCGUGGAAAUACAUCGGUUUCUUACUCGUGCAAAGGAACUAUUUCUUGGCAACUUGGACAACUUAUAACGAUGUUUGUCCCGCAUAUCAGACGGAAGAUCGGGAUCUUUACAAAAGGCUUUAUAAAGCUUUCGUCUCAAUUCAUAUUUAGCCGCGAGCAAUCUACGUUUGUGAUCUCGUAUAUUUCGCUUCUCCGACAUCUUACUUAGUUUCUCCCUCAUCUUUUAGCAAAAAGCCGCUCCACGGUGGUAAAGUCUCAUCUUUUGUGUUUGCCGAAGUGACAAUAGUCACAUUGAACCCUCGAAUAUGCUCGAAGAUCUCGAAAUGAUCUUCCAGUUCCGGGGAGAAUUCGCAAAACUCCGUUUCCAUCGAAAAUUUCAUGGGGUUUUCCCGUAUUUCGACCGGAGAAUCUAACAUAGACAUUACUGUCGAGAUUCUGACCAAAAAAUUAGACAUUCCAUGCCCUCGGAGAGCGCUUUGUCGUGCAAAGUCACUGACAUAUCCUGUGUCUUUUUCGGACCCCAAGAAUGGAUUGGAUCGAAACGACUUUCCUGCUUGGAAAUAAGGGCCCCUUUCUGUCUGUAUGAAUCUCUGACCGCGCGGAAUCUCCAUAGCCAAUUUUCCAUAUUUGAUUCUGAAAUCAGAGGCUGCUUUUGGUACUAAUCUUAUUUCAAACGAUCCAGGAACUUCCAUAACGUUGGCGUGAUUCGGUUUGAGCAACGGAUCCUGACGUGAUACAUCUUCGUAAUGAAAAUGGAGUGGAAACAUCAUGAUGAGUUGGCUUUUCCGGUUUUUUUGAGAAUGAGCACUGUGAACUAUCCGCUUCAAAAAGGAUAGUGGAUCGAACCGAAACCAAUUAUUCUGGCUUUCAAAAGAAAAAAGCCUAUUCCUUCGCUCCCAACCAUUCCUGUAUGAUGUUCUAAUAUUGCGGUUAGGCCUUUUUUUUAGACAAUUUCUACUGCUUUUACUACAACUAAAGCACCAACUGCGCUUAUUCUGCAUCUAUUAUCUACGUCAAUUUCUUCUUCAAUCGAUUCCCUCACUUCUCGCCCGGGAGAAAGGAGCUGACUUUCAAAAGUAAGUAAAUAGACCGCGCGAAAGCCAAGCCGCAGUAAAGGCGAUAGAGAGAGAGGGAUCAGGAUCCCUCUCUCCUCUCCCCCCUUUCGAGGGCCUCGUCCUCCUCUUUUCCCCUUUUCUGAGAGAGGCCUACAACCUUCCUUCCUUUCCCUCCUUCAUCACUUAAGCACCCGCGCUUAAGCACCUUGUUGGAUAGCAUUUAUGGUUAGUAAAACUACAAUGUCCAAGACCGCUGCUCCAAUGAAUAUCGCAAUUGCUGCUCUUCCGGGCUUUCUUACUGGUAAGGUGCACCCCUCGCUUGCUGCUUGUACUCCCCCGCCUUCUACUAUAUGAGGAUUCGCCGCUGCCCCCGCAUCUACCAAUUCAUUCACGUCUUUUACCGCCUGCGCUACCUCAUGCAGCUCCAUUAUCUGCUCCAGUACCUGCCGGGCAGCUGUGAUUUCUUCAAUUUCCGGCAUCCUUGCAAUCCAAACGGCAGUCCCUACUACCAUAGCGGGGAACAGGAUGCUUGCGAGCCUUUCCGAGUCCACUAUUACUCUGGGUGCUCUCUUUAGGUUCACUCUCGUUAGUAAGUGUGCCCCAUAGCCCUCUUUUAUAAGGCCUCUACUUAGCCCGCUCCCUGCUCGCUCUAGCUGCCUGCAAGCGGCUGCUUCCAUGGCGUGCUUUCCCCUAAUGGCUGCCUCCUGCCUUUUUUGUGGCAGGUAAGUGCUAAGCAUAGUCCUGUUUGGGAAUCCGCUAUGCCCCACGGAGGAGAGGAUGCUUGCUGUGGUUUCCCCAACGCCCGUCGUUCCCCUUGUUAUUAAGUUCAUGGGCUGAUUGCUUACGCUGUGACUUUUUCUUUGGGGUCCCCCUCUUGCUUGUUGCAUCCUCUCUUUCAUCACCACACUGACUUUUCUAGCCAAGGAUGCUGUUAUUGCUAUCAUCUCUCCCAUUUGAUCACGUUCUCUCUCGCAGGGCUUAUCGCCCUUGCUUUAUUUCCACCCCAUGGGAAUUCCACUCCUGAGGUGCUAUCUUCUUCUGGCAUUUUGGCCAAGAAAGAAAUGGGACGUACCGAACAAUCUAUAAGAAGUAACAGGCAGGGGGUGUGUCACCUCACUACUUACAACGAUAUAUUUCUCCGAGUGAGUUGCCCCUUUUAAUACUAUCGCUUCCAGAACAUAGGUAGUCAUGCCAUGGAUACGAAUGUUUGGUCGACCAAGAAAGUAGUGAAAAAGCAAGGAACGGCAAAGUGCUUUCCGCUGCCGCAGCCUAUAACCGGAUCGCUGCGGCAUAGCCGUUUUUGGUUAGAGACCUAUUUUCAAGAUUCAUGAAUGAGUAUCUUCCUUUUUCCUUUUUCUUUCUCCUCGGCUUUCCCGAGAUUUCCCCCCGCUUCCCCUAUCUGUUUGUUUCUCUCUUGGGGGGGAACCCGCUGUAAUGCUCACCUUAUCCUACGCAAAUAAUGCUACCUUCGUGAUAUCUCCAAAUUCCUCUGCUCUAUUUCUUUCUUCAAAUCAUAGUUUCCCACGUUCCAUACCGGUUCCUUACUCCUAGGACCAGCGUUGCUUUUGAUAGUUCAAUCUCAUUGUCAUUUUGCUGCUGUUUCGCAUCUGUUGUGCUAUCGGAUAACGUCGGUCUUACUAACAAAAUUCUCUCUUCGCCUCCUUUUUUGUUGCUGGAUUAGUGUAGCGGGCCAGGAGAUAUAGUCAGGAUCAUGCUCUGCUUCAUUUCUGUAGAUCAUAGCUCCCAUGGUGUUGAAGAUAGCGAUCCUCCGCUUAUCACCAAUAGAUACUAUUUCUUCUUCUUUCUUCUUCUUGAUGGGAAUUAUUAGAAACUUCAACAAGGACAGAUCAGCUGCAUCCACCGUAUCCCACUGGAUCUCCAUCCACAGGACACUAGCUUUCAGCUUACUCCAUCCGCCGCUUUGUACCUCUACUACUUCUCCCGUUCUUCUUAGAGUUGCUACCUCUUCGAAGUUUGUUUUCAUUCGCAGCGUACUCCCCUGCAGUAUCUCAUCCGCGUUGUGAGGUAAUGGAGUUACGCACUUGCUAAUAGCGAUAUCCUUAACCUUAAGCCUUUGUUGCUCUCGUGCUUUCAAGUGUAGCGAUUGGGUUAUACGCCGUUGGAUGCAACCCCAUAGUGUGGCUAUGGUUCGUUCUUCCCUAAAAUCGUGAAAAUUGGAGGUGAAUCUGAUUCUGAUAAAUCUCUCUUGGAAGGGUCCUCCGUCGCGUAAGCAUUUUGGUAUCUGGUUGGCUAUCAUAACAAUGGGUAUCUUCCUUUUUUUGGUGAACACCCUCGAAUACUUUGAGUCAAGUCUACACUCCUGCCCAUCAAGUAGCUUUAGGAGCGUGUUUGCAUAAGGUGCCCCGGCGCAGGGUCAUCCAUCGAAUCAUAAGAGAAGUAGUCCGACUCCGAUGAGUUAGUACCUGCAUCUCAAGCUUAAGGCUAAAGAGGGAUGAGUGCGGGUCUAAGGUAGGACACCGUUCAUUGUUUUUCCAUAAGAUAACCUGCUUUUGCAUUAUCCUUUUACAGACUAAGGCAGAAGACUGAGAGUUUCUUUUUUGUCCCAAAAUCUGACGAAUCGCACGGAUCAACAUCCGUAUCCGUGUAUUCGGGGGGCGACUCCUCUUACGAGGCGGCAGAUGGAGCAAGAGCUUUCAAGUUGAGAAAGAAGAAGCAAGCCCCCUUCACUUCUUUUAAAAGUUGGAUGAUACAGUUUCUCUUUUGGAAAAAGAUGGAGCAGAAAAGACAGGAGCAUCUGCUCUGAAAACAAGAUCAGCCGAGGCUAAGACAAAGUAGCCAAGGCCAGUGAGUGAUAUCGAUCGAGCUCGGUAAGCCAAGAAGGGCUCUUGGCUUUCUGGGAGAUAGUUGGAACCAGGGACCAAAAGUCAAGCUAUCUCCCGCUCUAGCAAGAGAGACUCCUUUCCUUUUUCAUCGUUAGUCAGCCUUGUACUUUUAUUCAGUUUGAGUUUGUUUGCCUUUCAGGGUUAUCCGUUGUUGAAUCAAAACUUUCGUCAUCUUGGCCCACACCCCGUUCGUUGGUGAAGUAAGCCGUCUUGCGAAGACUAGCUUGCUUCUAGUCCUAGUCCCCCGCCUCGCUUCUCCUUAUAAGGCCCUUUGUCCCACUUCGGUAGAUAUGAAAUUUGUCCGACCAAAACCACUUGUGAGGAGCCGCAAAUUACCACCAUGUAGCUAGGGGGUAUGGGUCUCGGUACCGGUCCUCGGUGUAUAGCUGAUGCGGUGGGGUUCUUUUUAAAGGGUCCAGGCUACCCUAUUGAGAAAGCUUAAGAUUCAGCAGGGGGGCUGUAUCGUGGAAGUAAUGGCCUUGAGAUUUGAAAUCUUCCAGGUAUGAUGAAAGAGGUCGUAAAGCAAGGGCUGCUUCAUUCGCCCUGAAGGGGGUCUCGUCUGAAACAACGGGCCCUGGUUCUACCAACCCAACAGACCCGGUUUUUCUUUAAAUUCAAAAGGAUAUCCUGCCGCUUCUCAGGAACCAACAGGAUCCCUUUUCCCGGGGUAGCAUUUACCGAAGAAGGUUGUCUCAAAGCCACAAUCUACCCCCACCUAAAUCGGCAUAGACACCUGAAUAAACAAAGGCUUCAGGCUUGCCGGAAUUCCUUUUCCCCCAUUGUAGACCUCAUUCCCCUCUUCCUUCUAUGUCCUCUACCUGAGGAAGAACCUCCGACCCAAGAUCCAUGCCUAGUUUUAUUCCUAGGAUCUCCACCUCCGUAUGUUCUUCCCCUCUUGUCCGUCGAUCCCUUAUCCUUUGAUAAUCCGUUGCUCCUGGAGUUUUUUCCAUCUUCACCCUCGGAUUCUCUACCUCGAGACGAUUUCUUUCUCCCCGCUGCUUCCCCCCCUAAUAAAGGUGAGAUUGAAGCUCAGUCAGCAAAGACACAAUUUCUGGAGGGCAUUCCUCGGAAUCGAGACUUUUUACCCAUUUCCACUGACGAGCUUUCUCGUGAGCUCUUUCUUCUCGGGAACAUCUCGAAAUCGAGCGAGCAGCAAGAAUAUGAAUCAACCUAUCCUUAAUCUGUUUCCAUGUAGUCGGCAUUCUAUAAACCUCGCUUCCCAGCCGCCUGCCUUCUUGUGUGGAAAUGUUUUUCAUUAUCUCAAGCUCUUUCCCACCAGCUCGUUCUCCACUAGGCAUCUAGGCGAACCCGCCGGGUUGGUUAACUCAACGUAAAGAAAAGAAAGUAAGUAAGUGCCUUACUAAUAGCGAAAGGCGAACAUCUCAUGCAUCUUUAGAACCAUGGAACUCCCAUAAUAUAUAUAUAAUGGGUUAACGCUAAUGCACGCUAUAUCUCUUAGUCUAAUGGGCUUACCGUGAGGGAGCUCACUCUCUGUAUAGGGAAUUAGGUAACGAAGGGACGACGACGAAGGAGAAGGUAACAAGUAUCGGAGCGAAGGCUAAUAUUAUCGAAAUCUAAGUAGUCGCGACGAACGCUCAUGCUCAGACUAUGGCUAUUAGUAUCGAAGAUGGUUAUCUAAAGCUAGGGAAACCCCAUCUUUAUAUGUCUUGGCAUUGCUUGAUUUCUCCGAGUCGUGUAGGGCCUGUUCAAGUUCCGCAGGAGUAGUUUCGGUUGGAACUUGGACGCAAGCAAGAACGGGAGAGGAUUGCUAGGCAGCCUCCUCAGCCCAUCAAAUAUGAUCUUCUGCAGCAGCUCAAUAGGAUCAUAGUUUUCGAAAUAACAUCGAGAAAAGAAGCCAAGACCCCUCUACCGGAUUACGCUUUCAAAUAGCCAGGAUUUUCAAUUAGAAAAACAAUAAGUCAUGUUUUGGCCAUGUUCAUCAUCUUGGUCCGGUGGUACGUUACUCUCCAUACUUAACAUAUGUUGCUUGCCUCUCACCAUCUCUUCGGAAUAGAAACUAAGUUGCAACGAAUGCAGUGCAAUCAAUAAGUAAGAUAGAUCACCCUUAUUCUAUUUCUUCAGGAAUAGAAGGACGCUAGGCUCCUAUAAUAUAAUAAGGGUCUUAAAGCGAGUUCUUCCUUAAAUACGUAAAUGAAGGACUGUUAUAUGUCUUACCAGGCGUCGAGUGCCGCUGAAUCCGUUGUUCAAAUAGCAGCUGCUUGGCCCUUUCCCGGUGAAAGGGUUUCAGGAGAGGAAUUCAGACCGGUAUAAGAGCAAUAGAGUUGGCAAAUCCACUGCCCGAGAAGACAGAAAGAGGUCUUUAUUUGAAAAAGACAGAGACAGAAAAGAGGAGAUAUUUUUCCAGGGACAGAGAAGCCAAUAAAAAACAUUGAUCUUGCCACUGGACUAUAAAAAAAAGUGUAUCAAAGCAAAGACAAGAUGCGCAAGCAAGUCCAUCAGAAUGAGAUACCGAUACAAAUACCGUCGGGGUAAGCCAAUAGGAUACCAAAGGGGUAAGGCAAUCCGAUAGAGAGAUGCCGUUCUUUUGAACUCUAGCGUAGAGCUCCUGUUACUCGAGUCACAGAACUCGAGGGAAAGAUCUAUUUCGAAAGAUCAGAGAAAGAAGAGCGUUUGAUCUACUAAUAGCGGCAUAAGAACAGCAACUAUACUGGCAUUUGCUCUAACCUAAGCAAGACGCAUUUUUGAGACAUAAUGAUCCAUACUCUCUGUCGGGGGGCUUAGGCUUGGCGACCUAAGCUCUGUCCACCAAACCAAUAUCUAAUAUCUUUGUUGGGGACCUAGGCUUGUGGCAUCCCCUAUCUCUUAAAGGCUUUUCAAAAUAAAUAUCUCUUUCUUCUCAGGCACAGUUGCUUUCCUUGAUUCGGGCACAGUGUCUUCGACAAAUCGUUUUCUCAGUCUUUGUCUCAUCUCUGGUUCUGUGGUUUAGUCACCUUAGUCCAGUGUAUCAGAAAGCACAUCUGUCUUUCCGAGACAUAAGGAGUUAGAUUCAGCCUUGAUAUAUGAGCAAGGUCAAAGCAUAAAAACCAAAGCGAAUCUCGUUUAACCCUGCUCCUCGGCCUUCUUUAAAGCCUUGUGACUCCCAUCCCAUCAAGUCAGGAACCAAAGACUGAAACUAGCCUAGCCCCGGUUAGGCGGAUGCGCGGAGCUCAAUCCUUUUUGUUAAGGUUCGGGAAUCAUACACAUCCCUUAUCUGUGAGUCGAGAAAGAUUUCCAUCGCUGGCGAACUUGGAGCAGAAAGCGAAAUUCAAAGAGAGGGAAAACCCCUCGAUAGAAGGAGUGAGACUAUAUACCCUUUUCUAUGAAAGACCAGUUUAGAGGGAAGCACCUGCCCCUUUCUUAACAUAGGGUACAUUGAACCCUAGAUUUCCCUAUCUACUUUCCAAUUACUUCUUACCAGGAAAAGGCAUACCAAAGAUUUUGGGAAAGACACAUUGAAAUGGAAGUUCGAGGAGUAGGCGCCUGAUCAAACGCCUUACGUGAUAAGGGCUUCGAGGUCCAGAGCUUUAGGAACAAUAAGAACCUGUGCUUACCAGAAUAGUUUGAAAAUCAACCACUUGAACUUUUUGACUUCCUUAACUUACUUCACUUACCGCUACUCGGAAAAAAAGUGGUUUUCUCUUUUUACAAGGCUAGGUCUUACACCCGAAAAGAGUCUUUCACUUUACCUAUCUUAACUUAUCUAAACAGGCUAUCACCGCUAAUAGAAAAAUUGCUUGACCCGGCUUACCAUUCUCUAUUAAAAAAAAUGAAAGUCUCAUCUUGUUUACAUCAUAGGCAGUAGAAGAGUCCUAUUGAGUCUAUCCUGGUCUUAGUUUGACUCGGCGGUUAAGCAGUGGAUGUGCAAAGAUUAACAGAGAUUUCAUAGGUGCCCUUCUAAGGCUAAGAGAAAGAAAAGAUGGCGCACGGCGCGUCAGGAUAAGGCUUUUGAAUUCAUAGAUGUGUCCGCUUCGCUCUCAAACUGUCCAUCAGGUGCAGGUGUAGUACCAACAAAGUCAAGUUCAAGCUCCGGGUCGGAUUUGCCGGCGGACUUGAUGCUGAGGCACAGGAAUCUUCUUUAUGGAGGAGAAGAACUAGCACGACGAACAAUGCUCGGCACUCUGUCAAGUGAGCCCCUCUCAUUCUCUAUAAGCCCUAUAGUUGCCCUGUAUAAGCAUUCUUAGCUCAAUACCCCUUCACCGCCUUCUCACGCUAAUGAAAGCCCUUACAGAACAACUACUGCGAGAGCCUUUCCUUCCCCUAUACGGAAGGAUACUCUAUUUGGUCAAAGUGACUUUCCAGAAGAGGCAAAGAGUAGUAAGAGGAAGAAAGAAGAGACCAAGUCGUUUACUUAAUAUUUGUGACUCUUGCCAACAAUUGGUUCUUUAACUGACACUUGACUCGAACCGCUUGCCAUAUCUAAACUAGCUACUGGCAAAGAGGGAAUUGAUUCAAGAUCCCCUUGCGCCCUACAACCCGAAAGUGACUCUCUAUCAAAGCACUUGCGGUGGGCUAAGCGCAAGGAGUCUUAGAGUCUCGAUACUGGCUAACGGAAAAAGAACGGCAAAGAAGUAGUUGUUCUACAACCCCCAGAACUGUACGCAGCGCUUUUCAAAACAAGAAGUGGUUUGUUUUUUCUAAGUCGCUCUGCGAAAACGGUUUUCUGUCUACGAGCGCCUGUCUGCCUUCACGAACGUAUAGUAACUCACUAGCCCUAAACCGUAACUGAAACACUCUCUUCUCCAACCAAAGCCGCCAUCCAGAUUCAGAACAGAAGCGAAAGCGGAAAGAGUUUACUGAAGAGGCUUUCAUCUACGGCCUCCCUAACUAGAAAGAAAGAGGGGAUCAAAAAAGCUUUAAACGAGUAAAGUAAGGCCUUGAAUAACAACGGCUAAAGUGAAAAGCCUACCGACCUUACCUGUUCUCUACCCGGACCUAAUCCAAGCACUGAAUCGAUCAAGUUAGUUGGUUUCCAAGCGGGUUCCGCUUUCAUAACAAAAAAGGCGUAAAAGAAAGGUCUUUUCUUGAAAGGUAUAUUUAAAGAAACUUAGCUUACCAAGAGUUCCGGAACUAGAGAGAUAAGAGAUAGGAUUUGUUCUCCAUACGAGGGAAAGAAAGUACUUUUCGUCUAUCUGAUCUCCUUGACCUGAGUCUCAGAGUCUCGGUUUUAGCGAUAUUCCUUCCUUUUCUCAGGCUCAAGCUCUGUCUGGUCUUCCUUCUUCAUUCCCCACAGGCUUCCGGGAGUGCCGGCUCUGUACUCUGUUCGGACCAUAAGACUUGCAACACUGACUUACUGAAAAGACUGACUGCUUUCCGACUUUUUGUUCUGCCUCUACUAGUAAAGGGGCUUUAGCCUUACAACAAGCUUGACUUAAAAGGCUUGAAAGAGUUUGAUCUAUGAUACGCUUGAACUGAACUAUCAGUCCUAGAAAGAACCCGCUUACCGUGACGAAAGAAAGACGGAUUUAUUCUCUAAGCAAAGCCUAUAAGCAAAGCUAUUUUCUAAGCCAAGCUUCCUUUUUUUCCCAAGUGCACUUCGGCACCAGACUAGCCGACCUACCUUCUGUCUCUGUAUUUCUCUAAAACUUAUACAAAAAAGAAUGAAGCAAGGAGUUUUUUCUCUUUUUAAAGCAGUUUUACAGUAACCACUACCAGAACUGGUACUGGUGCCUACUUCCUAUGACAGAAGGUAAUCGCCUAGCUUACUUUUUUGCCUUUCUACUUGCCGUACUGACUAACCGCGGUAUUCGAACUGUAGGCUUGACUAACUGCACCUUCUCUUUGAUAUCCCUCGACCUGUUACCGCUAUUGGCUCCCGGAACUACCGUCCAACCAAAGUGGAAGGCGAAAAGCAGAAAGCGACCUCCUUUAUAUACUAUGAAAGAAAGCCGGCAACAAAGCAAGUAGUGGAAAUCAAAAAUUUUGAACUUCAAAUUCUGACUGGAAUGAUUAAAGAAUUUCAUCUUAUUUCUUCGGGGCCGUAUGUUUCGAAAAAGAGUCCCUACUUGUACUGUAUGUACUGACUGCCUGCCUCAAUUCAAUGCCCGCUGACUUACUGGUCACUUUACUGAGUUCCUAGGAACGAACAAGGAAGAUUUUUAGCCCCAACGACAAAAGAACGGGCAUUUUCGGGGACUAGCCCGCUAUUCCUAUCUAUCUUAACUAUAAAGACUAACUAAUCCAUUCCAAUUCUGAUUUCUACCAAAAGUAUAUUGAUCGUGAGUGGCUCUGUCGUCCUUUUCUUUAUCUUUAAAAUCAAAAAAAGUGAAAAAAAAUAAAUAAAAAAAGAUUAAGGUUUAGUCUGACCUUGCAUCAUAGGUAAGGCAAAGCGCUUUCUUUUAAGAAUGCAUCUAGUGCCAUUUUUCUUUCGUUAGUGAAACCCCCUUUUUCUAAAAGUGAUUGUAGUAAUUCUGGUUUUAUACUAUUUGGAAUAGCUCUCUCAUAAUAUUUCGAAAAUGAAAAAAAGAAUUUCAUCAUCUGGUGGGGCCAGAGAUUUUCUUAUUUUUUUCAUUUCUUGCGGAACGUCCAUCCUGCCUCCUUUCCCUAUCGCGGAAUUAUAUGCACGAGUUAGGAAGGACUUCAGAUUUGUGAGGUCUUUAUGUGUCGCGGAAGGGUCGUCCCCCUUUUGUGCUUUGUUUGUUGCCAAAUUUUUGAUGAUUUUAGAAACGAAUUCCAUUGGGGUUGGUACUUGUCUGAUAGAAGGAAACUUUUGAGCCGUCUCCUCUAUCAGGGGGGAAAUUGACUCAGCCAGUUGUUCUUUUUUUUUUUUCAUUUCAUCCUUGCUUCGGUUCAACAAAAUAUAUUCAAUUACACGCGGGUCCUUUUGGUUGGAAAGGUCGAGCUCUUCCUCAGGACUGUUCGGUAUCUCUAAAAUUUGGAGGGGACGCUCGAAAGGACUAGGCGCUUUGAAAAUUUCGGUGGAAGAGGGUUUUUCGGCCGGCACGCUUGGUGGCGUUUGGGGGUAGUGUAUUCUCGAGCUUGAUGCGCCGGAAGCUCCUGACGGCACCAUCAUGUUACCCAUAGAAAUGGAGUCUAAAAGAGAUAAGAUUAUUGUGAAAAGGAUACCCCCUGCCCACCCGAGCCUAUAAAAUAAGAAGUGGAGUCCCUUGCCGAGGAUCAUGGAUUGGAUCUUGACAAGGAAGAGAUUAAGAAAAUCCAAUUCGAUGAAAAGACAACUCAGACCAUAUAAAAUACUAUUUCUUAUUAGAAUAAAUAGGAAGGCAAAUUUGUAUCUAAGAAAAAUCGAAAAUAUCGAAAUAAGUAGUUUUUUCAUAAUUGGACUUAUCGUAGAUAAGGGGCGAAAUAGAUUUCUCAUUGAGAAGUUGUUUAAAGGAUCGCAAUUUCCUGCGCAGUCCGUGCCAGUAGUGAUUUCCUAAUUCGGCUACCUCCCCCACUCAUUAAGGCAGAACAACAGAAACUAUUUGCCAAGGGGGACCGGAGUCCACUCUGCCCCAUCACCUACAAAAGGAUCCGUUACGGGAGUGCUGCGCUUCUCAGGGUCCUCCGCGUCGGAGCGACCCCGCCGGGGCGAUCCAUCCAGUCACCCGGAGAAUAUUUCUAUAUUUCUUUUCUUUGCUGAUUCCUCUCAAUGAAAUUUGCCAUGUUGCACUAAGUUACUUACGGAUGUAUGCAUGCAGUCCGGGAACACUUUGGGGUGAACACCCAUCCGAACAAGUAGGGUCAAUAGUUCAGCAUUUAGGCCGUAACAUUUAGCAAAAAAGAAAUCUUUAACCCAACAAGUGCUCUCCGAACCAAGCUAGAUAGUCUCCUAUCACUAGGCUCACCAACCAACCUGGACUUUGAUUCUUUCUUAUUAUUCUUACCGGAUAUAAAAACCAUAAGGAUUGUUUCCAGCCAUGAGUUCCCAUAUGACAUAAGCGCUCUUGGGUGGGGUGGGCCAUCAUUCGCCAGGUCUUUGAGUGCCCGUCGUACCACGUGGUUGGUGCACUAGGCUGAUCGAGACUCUACUUUUAGGAUCUGGCACCUGCGCUCGACUCGGUCUGCCAGUGGAAUUUUGGCUCUACGUCCGGUCGUGCGUGGUAUGUUCGCGAUUCGUACAAAUGGAACGCAUCGCGUACGUUAACCUUCCUUUAUUGGGCUGGGCCAUUCCAUCAAAGAUUUGAGAAGGGGCCCAAUCUCGUAUUUGAUGGUCGGCGUGGCAAUAGGCUUCGCUUCGUAGACUGGUUUCCCAGCCGUUGCAAAGACUUCGCGAGAACGGUCAGGGGCGGCGCGGGGAUGCGAUUCGCCAAGCUGGGGCAAACAAAGCCGUCCGGCCCUACCGGAUUAGGAAUGCGAAGGCCUUUCCUUCGAAAGGAGACCCGGGAAAGAGCUAUGCUAUUGACCGACCCUUUCGUAGUUACUUCGAAUCAAUAGGCCUCUCAUUUUUCAUGAGGCGGGCCAAAUAGAGAAUGAAAUGCAGAAAUAGGGGAAGGGGGGAUGGUCGCGCCUUUGAUUUUGUUUAAGGGCUGCUCGCCCUACUUAAGUACCAAAGGCUUUCGGGGCUUACACCCCAGUAGCGCCCUUAGAAUCUAAGCCCUUUGAAGCGCCAGUAGUUGUAGCUGUGGGUAGGGCUUUCGUUCAACUCGCUCCGGGUUCCGAUCUAUAUGACCUCCGGGCGGUACAAAGUACACCUCUUCCGUAGAGGCAGGUAGUAACCUAACCUUUAAGAGUCGGGGGAGCCGAGCCCUCAACUGGAAAAAUCUCCGUGCGUGGCCUGAGUUGGAAUCCUAGAAAAGAUCGAUUGAGACUCCCUCCCUGGUCCGACGAAGAUCUCUACGUACUUGUCUAGUCCAGGACAACUGAGAUCUUCCGGUCUGCGUGCGUGGGAGCAGCUGAAACAAAGAAGAGUCUGGUCCGCUCUGAAUUCAGGCCCGGCCCGCCCGUCUGCUGCUAGGUCCGGGAAUGGCGCCAGGCGAGGGCGCCGCUAUGCCCCGCAGCUCUGCUGCGGCCGGCCUCCGGACUAUGCAAAAGAAUCGAGGCCGGGAGGUCUCGUCCAUAGUGGUUCCCCCCCGCCUUACAAAUAGGCCGUCCCCCUUAAUGAAUCGAAUGGUCCUUCGACCUUCCUUUGAUUCCGACGGCCGGCAUAGAUUAGAUCUCAUGAGACCCGCCCACUAUUACUACGAAAAAAGCCCUGCCCUGGCACCUUCGCUAGACGGAGAGUAAGCGACUUCUAUUAGCGCCGGACCGUCGAGUCGAAUUGAUCGUGUCAUGUGCAACGUCCAUCAAUGAUGGUUCAUUAAUGUCCAUUGAUUUAGACUCCUUCCCCCUUCCCUUAUACGAAAAAGAUCGAGAGGGGCCCGAACCAAACCAAGAACGGAAACAGAAGCCUUUCGACUCACUCUCGUAUGGCUCGCCCUCGAGCCCUGGGCGGGUCGGCCGGGUCUUUCCCUGUUGUUCUGUUCCCGCCACGAUAAAGACGCACGGAAGAGGUAUGGUAUGCCCAGCGCGUGGAGGAUCCGUUGAGAGUGUCCGUUGUCUCGGUAGGGAACAGUACCUAUUGUCUUGAAAAAAAAAGGUCAGUGCUACGGUCCCCUAUUGUUUGAUCCAAUAUUUACCGGGGACGAGCCCCGACUUCCAUAGGUCCUUGGUUCGACCUCCCGUAGCGGUCCUUUCUUUUAUUUAAGAAAGCUCCGCGGGGCCAAUUUAUCGUACUUGCUCAGUGUGCCCCCCUUUCGUCGAGUGCCCCGCCCGGUUCACUGGGCUGUUGGCCUACCAAGCACUUGCCCGCUGCUCCUGCCGCCCGCUUGGCGGGCUCCGCGCUCGUUAUCCUGACUGUUCUCUCUGCUGGGGCCCCCUCCUAUUGCUCUAGCCAUAAGCUAUGGCAGCUCCAGCUCGCACCCACUCUGGCCCGCCCUGCGAGGCCAGAGUGAGCUCAGCGGUCAGCCCCUGACGUUAGGGGGUCUUUCGCCUUUGCCAGAUCUAUAGAGAUAUUACGAGUCCUCCGUCCCAGAUUCCCUCGCCGCGGCCAUCUGGUUCACCGGUACUACCAAAAAGUAUCAUGCUUACGUUACUGUGACUGAUAUAUAAGUAUUAUAUCGGACCACGAAGACCCCGGUCGUGCUUCUGGUUUCCAUUCCCAUCAUCAAAUUGAAGGAAACUCCUCGUGCUCUGCCAUAAGAACUUGGAGUCCGUAUCAUGGUGAAGGUAAGGUAACGCUGUGAUUCUUGCUCAAAAAACUGACCGAACGCGUUCGAGUUAUUGGCUCGUCCGACCCGGCUGCAUUCAUGAGUCGCUCGUUCAACUGUCCCUCGGAGACACGGUCGAGAAGUGCCAUGCAUGGUCGCCCCCCGUCCUUUCUUUCUCUCGGUCCCACCCGGGCCCCUCUGGGGUCAUUAAGAAAUGGAUCAAAAAAGGGGACUUCUGCUACGGGCUAUGCCACCCAUUACUUAUGAGGGAAGUCGCAUCCGUCCCAUCGCAAGCACCUACAAUGUCAUGAUCACAUUGGUUUUUACCUUUUUUUGGUAGUUCAACGGACGGUCGCCCCUCCAACAAGAAAAGGUAGAAAUAUGGAAACUUCUCUGCCAUUUGGAUCGGAGAAUUUAUGGAGGAAAUCGGGUUUGAAAUUUCCAGAAACCACACGAUUAUAUAGCCAAAGGGAAUACGCCGCGCCUAAAAUCAUCCCAAGCGCUGCUAAUGUGGCUACUAAGCUAUUUCUUUGGAAAGCUCCUACUGAGAUUGGAAAUUCCCCGAUAAAGCUGCUAGUGCCAGGUGAACUCAUAUUGGCCAAAGUGGAAGAGAAGGAAAUGGUAGGGAGAUUCGGCAUGGUGCUCACUGAACCUCCAUAAUAUCUAGCAAGUCGAGUCUUAUGUCGGUCAUAUAGAACACCAACACAUAGAAAAAGGGCUGGAGGAACCAGUCCAUGACUUGACAUCGGUGGAAUGCUACCUCCAAUUCCCUGUAUGUUCGAUAGAGCCAAAUAUUCCCCCGGAGUACGCCGAUUACCCCCCGAACCGUACAAGAUAGUUACCACCUAUCAUACGGCUUUCUAACUCCACUUCUUUUUCUGGUCGUUCCGCUCUGUCGGAUCGAUGGUAGUAUCAGAGAUCUGUAACCCCCGACAUUUUUGACAACACGGUUCCUGCUUCCGUUUUGAGUUGCGCAUCUUUCUCCCCGGGGCAUACUAUAGUAUCACAUCGUAGACCCCCACCCCAACUCUAUCUUCCUUAUCAGUGAACCGGAACAUAGUGCAUAGGUACUCUUCGAUGCUGCGAGGACGAGACGACGUGACAUACUACGAUCACGUACAGAAGUUCUGCCCUUCGGCUCGGCAAUAUGGAACCUCUCAACUGCUCCCUUUAUGGGGUCCUAUCGGGAUAGGUAGGCCCAUCCCCCUCCCCCCGCCUCAGACAUAAAGGAAGUAGUUCCCCACGGCUGACAAAUAGAGGAGUUUAGGCCGUAAAAAGGCACCGGCCCCCACUGGGAUUUUGCUUUCCUUAUCUACGCGCGCACUGCGUCAGCACUGGCGAAAAAGAGGUCGGCUUUACAGAAUAAGAAGGGGCGGGCCGGGUGCUUGUGGGCCCCCCUCUGCUGCAAGUGCUUGUUGGACCCCCACCCCCGUUUCCCGAGAGGGGGCCGGGCUGUCUUUCCCCAGCGGCCACCCAGUGGCGGCAGAAAACGAACUCGGGUGGGCUCCGCGCGGUUCGCGUUUUAUUGUUAAGAGAGAGCUUCUCAUUCUCUUAUAGAAGCCCGCGUCCACGCGGGUAAAGCCCAGCGAAGCUGCAGGGAGCACUGAGCAAUGGGGGGAUGAGGGCGACUCCGCCCAUGGGUUGGACCACACCACAGGCGGAAGUCCUUCCACGACAAGAGAAGGGUCGUUGUCAGACCGGAACAAGAAACGGGAGCUAGUCGUUGGAGGGAAGACAAGGCUCGUUCCGUGCGACUCCACAGAAGAGUACGCGCGCUACAAAACGCAGCCAGCUUAAAAACGCUAGCUAGCUACUAUAGUAGUAGCCUUAUUUAAACUAGGGUUGCCUACGCUUGCUCUCCGGCGCGCUACGGCAACACGUUUACUCUCCCCUGCUUGCUUCUUUCUGUUCGACGCUCCGCUCGCAGCCUCCCCACCCUUGCUUAGCGUUCCACUUGUGAUCCUGGAGGAUUUUGAGAAAUGCGCCCGACCGAAAGAAAAGAAGAAAGGAUUUCUUCUUUUCUUUCAUGUGAACGGCCCUAUCUUGUAAAGAAUGGUUUUUCGUGCUUAUACACCACGUUGAGAAAGACCAACCAACAACACAAAUAAAGACCGUACCAUUUUGGUACCUCGAAAGGGAGGUGCUCCUUAUGAUGCUACGGACGGCUGUCCGAAGUGCAAUGACGGGCUCGGAUAGGAUAGGAUUGUGCGUGCCGGGCCCUUCGGGUGUCGAUAUUUUGGCCGAGUUCCCCGUAGCGUAGGCCCCUAUGUUACGCGGCCGUAAUAUUUUGUUACGUUCCACCGCUGUUACGCCAGAAAUCCAAGGUUCCACACGAGCUCCCGUUCUGCGGCGUGGUGGCAGGACCGCUAGGGGAUUGGCUCCGGGUGUAGGUAGGGUAAAAUCUGCAGGGGUCAUGCAAAUACAUAGGCCCCUUCCCUUCUGCCGAGUUGUUUAGAAGGCGCUUUCCGUUCUACGGUCCCUCGGAGCGAAGGGUUAGGCAGGUAGUACGGGCCCUCUGACUUCCAGCUAUGUGCUGUGUGCGACUCCCGCGAAGCGAAUGAAGGGAAGCUCGAAGAGCUUUCUCCGCCAGCGGCUUAUGUAGUGGUCGGCAUUCCUACGUGCUCCGACUUCUUGGGCCCCCCACUGGAGAUGAGAUGACGGGGAACCUUUGGAAACUGUCGUGACGCUUUGGUGACGAAGGUCACCGGGGUGACGGUUUAUGGAUGGAUUCCGUGGUCGUCUCUGACUCCCUCCAACUCAAUCAAUAUCAACAACAUGUCGUGACCAUGACGGUUAGGCCGACUACUCUACUAUACUCUACUCUACUAUACUCUACUCUACUAUACUAUACUAUACUAUACUAUACUAUACUAUACUAUACUAUACUAUACUAUACUAUACUAUAGGCUAGGGCUAGGCUACUUCUAGCUUCUAUAGUGAGUGGCCCUUCCGCUUUGGUGUAGUUGUAGUUUGUAUUGUACUGAAUUGAACACAUAUCAAACAAAGGCGAUCAAUCAGUAGUUGCCCUUCUCCGGCCUGGGAAAAGCAGCGAACUCUAGAAGCUAGGGGCUUUUUUUUUUCACCUUUGGACACGAACACUAUUCCGUUAUCAGCUGAAACCCGCCUUAGAGAUUGAACGUCGACUUAUCUUAUUUUUUUUAUUGCCGUUCAAUCUAAGACAGCGCUGAUAGCUUGUAGUGAACAGCCCCCUUAUGAAACUUGCUUUGGUACUUAAGUUAAGUAGUUAAGGCGAACAGCCCCCUUGCUACUAUGAUAGAGAGCCGUCUGCUUGUUGCCAAACCAACCCUGUUCGCCUUUCUUUUGAAUCGCCCUUUUGAAGAGUAGGGGGCGAGCAGCCCUUAAACUAAUAGGCCCGGAAAAAGGCCUUUUUUUUUUCAUGGUCGCGACUGUUGUAUUGUAGUAGGUCGGGGGAAGCUACCGCUUCUACGACAGCUCCGCUUCCUCGUCUUGCUUCUACUUUGCUUGCUUGCGCGAAGGCUUAGAGUCCUUUUCGCUAGGUCCAAAAGCUUUCGUCAAAGCGAAAGAUCUGAUCCAACGGAAAUCCCGCAUAUUGAGCGCAGCUGAUAUGUGGCUACUAGGCGCGAUUAUAUCAUGCCAUAAAAGACUUCACUAUGGCCCGUCAUAUAAAGAUAGAAUAGAUAUGGAUAGACAGACAUUCCAUUGAUUCACGAAAUGGCUCGUCGAUCCAAAUGAAUCAUUCUUCUGGUCUCUCUCCGCCCCCCGCCCCGAAACUGACCCACGGCACAGCGCCCAUUCGCUUCGCGCGCGGGAAGGCAACGAAGUUCAGUUCAAGAGACCGCAGCGGAGUGGAGCAGCCGCGACACGAAGUUCCUUACCUUAGCUGGAUCUCGCUGGUGCCACCUAAAGGGUAGGUAGGCGGCGGAUGUGUGACGUUUGGAGUUGUCGUUCGUGCACCUGUCCCCAAUAGAAGAAUGAGUGAUCCGUUCCCCUGCAGAUCAUGGCCUUACCACUCGGUCCCCGAUGGCCAGCGGGGGAUUCGGUAUAGCAGCUCACGUUCGUUUGCGCUGCGCGUUCCCGCUGGACUGGACACGUGUUAGCUGUAGGAAGUAUGGUUACGAAAGUGACUUCGGUUCGCCAGUUCAGGCUCAACUCCUCGCUUUACGNNNNNNNNNNNNNNNNNNNNCCCCUAUUUUUGAAAGAUUCCCUCUUCUCUAUCCAUUCCUACUCUUUCGAUCUAUCAGAACAGAUCAGGCCAUCUAUCAAUCGAUUUGAAAAUAACGUUCAUCUCGCUUUUCGUUCAUUUCCGCCACGCCAUAAUAGCCGCCACAAUAAGAAAGAAGCAAGCGAAACAGCUAGAAGCGCUCGCUUCGCCGCGCCCAACAUUUCUUAUUCACGGGAAAGCCAACAGAAAGAUUCGAUUCGGACUUCGUAGAGCCGGUGCUGCUGCUGUCUUCGCGUAGGGCCGUCCCCCACUCCCGUCCCGGGGCGCUAAGGGGUUUUGUUUUUGGAACAGACGGCAGUGUUUUGCUGACGCCUCGAAUCGACGCUUUUGUUGCGACAUGCUAUGUUUUCUCCCCCAUUGCUAGUAGGUUGAUGGGUCGCACGCCCGGCACACAUGUUUUGGCCUUGCUUGUGUGUCCAUAACUCAAAAUAGGUGACCUAACGGCCGCCGCCCGACUAGACAUACCAAUAGUCACCAGAUUCAUAUGGGCUACUGGGGAGUAGGCAAUGAUCUUCUUAAGAUCGAUCUGUCUUGAAGUGGUCGAGGGAGUAUAUAUUAUAGCAAUCGCGCUUGGAGUAUAAAUGAAAGGAGUGGAACGAAGUGUCGCUUCGGGAAACAUGGGUAUUGAAAAUCUUAAAAACCCGUGGGUUCCCAAUUUUGAAGGAAUUCCUGCCAAGAUGACGGAU
rnacentral:lncRNA from 1 species